rnacentral:lncRNA from 1 species
UACAAACCCUUUGCAGAUCAAGCUCGGAAACAUCCACCCAGAAAAAAAGAAGAAAAAAGAACUGCUUCAAAGAAGUCAUAUAUAAAGAAACUACAAGACAGUAACUUCUAGGCCUUAUAACAGACCUCACCAUCACAGAUUCAUCCCUCUUUGGCAUCUCCUCCUUCCUCUGCUUCCUCCCCAGCUGCUUCAGCAUCUUCAUCUAACUCGUUUUUAGUCGUUUUCUCUUCUUUAACAGCGCAUUUUGGGUGGAGAUCAAAGUCACACUCCUCGCAAUAAUACGACCACCCCUCCCCUGCCUUACCGCAGCCAUCACAAUUGUACCUUCUCCUCUGAGCAGGAACGAGCUCGUGCUUUUCAUGCAAAGGAUGCUUCAACUUCUCUGGCCAGCCUUUUAUACUUUCCUUGAACUUUUCCUCAAACUUCUUGAGAUGUUCGGCAGUAAAAGGAUAAGCAUCAGCCCCGUGGUCCAUUAUAAGAUCCCUUGCUUUUUUACUCACCGUCCGGCCCGUUGGGCCUAUGGCUACAAGCAUGGGGAUCCCCUUGACCUUGAAUCUGCGACUCAGGAAUUUCUUCCUCUCAUCACCAAAGGGAAGCGCCAGCCAUGGCAUCUGAGCAAAAUAAUCGUCGAAGGCAGUUUGGUCCUUGUCGCUGGAGAUGAAGAUCACCUCAAAGGCAUCGUCUGUGGCCUUGAUCUUUUCGUAUGCCUCCGAAAGCACCGGCAGGAAUGCUCGGCAAGGAGGGCACCAGUGUGCCGAGAAGUAAAGGAGGAUAGUCUUCCCUACCAAGUCCGAUACUGGAAUCUGCAAUCAAAGUUAAGAAACGACCUUUUAGACGAACCACCAAUCAAUGGAGAAGGCAUGUGAAAACUGCAUACAUGGAAAGAAUUUUCCUAGUUAUGGACCUGGUUUCAAUCCUUUCCUCAGAUCAAGUAACCGAGGGACAACAAUAUUUAGGACCUCAUUGUAGACAUUAAAAAUUUCCCCAGUCAUUAGCUUCUAGGGGAAAAAACAAAUUUACCUUGGUUCCAUCCUUUCCAAUGACGAAAUCCAGAUCCCCUGAAACCAAGAUCGACUCCAAGGUCUGAGAUUCUUCCCUUUUCUUCUCUAUCUCUGCAAGCUCUGCAAACUUUUCUGGAGUGAAGGGAUAAGCUGUGAUGCCAUGCUCUUCGACAGUUUCGGCAACGUUGGCAUGGACAGUCUUCCCAUCCUGACCGAUAAUGACCAGAGUGGGUAGGGUCGACAGCUUAAAGUACCUCACCAACUUCUCGCAUUUCUUGUCUUUGAAUGGUAAUGAAAGCCAUGGCAUGCUGCCAAAGGAUUGGUUGAAUGAUGCUUCAUCAUCAUCGAGAGGUAUCUGAACGAUCUCAAAACUCUCUCCUCUGGCCUUCAAUUUCUCAUAAACCUCCAGUAACUUAGGCGUGAAAUCGACGCAUGCCCUGUGCACGGACAACGAGAAGUACAGACCCACUGUUUUCCCUUCAAGCUCAGUAACAGGAACCUACUUUGGCCACAAAACUAUUAGUAAAAGGAGGAUGGAAAACCGAAUCAUAAGCACAUGCGACCAUCAGUUUCAAAUGCAUCGAAGAUCUUUUUUAGGUUUACCUGAUUCCGAUUGGACGAAACUACGAAGUUACGAGAUCCAUGGACCAAAAGAGAGGUCAAUGAUUGAUUUAUCCUGGCAGCUUCUUCCUGGUCUUUCAACUCUUUGAUACGUUCUGGAGUGAAAGGGUGACCUUCCACUCCAUACUCACGGACAAUCGCAACUCCGCUAUCUGUUAAGACCGUACCUGUGCCAUCGAGAAUGACAAGGUGGGGUAUCCCCCUCACCUUAAACAAUUCAUCCAAGCUAUUGCGCUUGUCCAAGUCGGAAAACGGGAUUGCAAGCCACGGCAUCUUGGAAAAGUAUCCACUGAAGGACCCUUCAUCCUUAUCUGCAGAGAUAAAAAUGAUCUCCAGAUCACCUUUUGGGGAAAGUUCAUCGUACACCUCCGCCAGAAUCGGGGUGAACCGGUGGCACGGACCGCACCACGAUGCAGAGAAGUACAAGCCAAGCUUCUUCCCCUUCAAGCUAUCGACCUUAACCUGAUAUAGAACAAAAAGAUUCCUAAUUUUAGUUCUUUCAUACGGUAAUCAGCGAGCAAGGCACACUAGAUCACUUGACCACCACACAAAAAUCCUGAAAGUGCUCAAGAUACACAUCCAAAUGCCAACUGCAGAAGCACUUCCCUUAAGCACUGCUCAUUAAAUAGUUAGCAAAUCAGCAGUCUUCUCCACCAAAACAAGUAUACCACACAGAAGGUGUGAGCAUUUACACUAAAGAGCAUUACUUCAUAGCAAUAUCGGAUCCAUAUACACUGCUCCCACCUGAUCCAACUCCAAGUAACAUGUCUUUCUCUAAAAAGUAAUGCAUCAACUACCGAUCAUCCAGUUUCUGAAGGAAACAAAUGGACAGCACUCGAAAAUGAUGAUCCUAGAUCAGACCAACUUUAGCUUCUCUUGAACUAAAUUUAAAAACCGAUCAGCGAAACAACCCCACACGAAGACGAAGGCCACGAGAACUUCGACAAGGACGCCCACCCAUAAUUCUUUUUCUUUCACCUCAUCCAGCGAAAGAGCAAGAGUGAAAGAAGAGAACUGAGUUUCACCUGAUCGCCGUUGUUCCGGAUGAGGAAGUCCCUGUCCGGAGAAGACAGGAGGGACUGAACAUCGUGAGAAGAAGCCCCGCCUUCGACAACGUCCGCCAUCCUGGUCGCGUUCGUUCCUUGUGUCCUGUUCUCGUGUCUCUGCAGAGAGUCUGCCUGAGAAUCCUCCUAUGGCGGGCUCCUGCUGCUCUGUUUAUAUACAUAAAGAAAAUCCCGUGCAAGCACAUAUAUUAUUUAUUUUUAUUAAUAUUAUUAUUACGAUUAUUUGCUCUUUAAUUUUCCCUUUUUCUAUAUGUAUAAAUAUAUAUAUAUAUAUAUUAUUUUUUUUUCGGUUUCUGGAUGCUUCCUUGGACUUUUGGGGACGGCAAGGACGUCAAGGACGGUAGGAAACACGUGGACACGCAUGAUAAAUCUCAGUCUCCAUUUUCUUAUUUUGUAUAUAUGUUUUAAUUUACUACCUUUUACCUUUCCUUGCUUCCUACGCUUCCGGUAAGCGGUGUGUUUGGUAAUCAUUCUGUUUCGAGUAAUACUUUUUUAUGAGAAAUGAUUUUUUUUUCUAUUUCUGUUAUUGGGAAUAAUUUUUGAACAAAAAAAUGUAUUUAGUAACUUACCAAAUAUUAUAUUCUCGGGAUAAAAAUACGUUUGGUAAAAUUCUUAGAUUUUUUUUAUUUCUUUUAUUUUUUUAAUUAUUUUACUAUUUAUUCUUAUUUUUUCCUUUUUCUUUUUUCUUUUUCUCUUUGGUUGGUCACUGGUGACUGCCGUGGUCGGCGACGUCUGGCGUGCUUGCCAAAGUCUCGCUAGGCCAAGGUGAGGCUCGACGAGGCUCGGCCUCACCUAAGCGGUGCAAGGGUUGGCCUCGUGUCAGCAAGGGAGGCUGAGCCUCGUCGUGGCUUGGCGUCUUCGAGAGUUAGCGACGCUCCGGCAAGGUCAUCGGCCCUCGUCUGGCCGGUUAGGCCGGCGACUGGCAAAAUGAAGAAGAAGAAGAAAAUAAAGAGAAGAAGAAAAUAGAAGAAAAAAGAAGAGAGAAAAAUUGAUUCUAGAAAUUGUUUUGAAAAAAGUAAAUCACUUGAAAAAUAUUUUCUUAAAAAUAAUCACUUGUAUCGCUUACAAUAAUGAAUAAGUGAAAAAAUAUCUUUAUUGUCCAUGAAAUUGUUUAUUUAUAAAUUAUUAUCGAUUUAACUAAUAAUUUUAAGAGAUAUAAGUGAUGAUUUUUAGGAACAUAUUUUCUAAAUCAUUUAUUUUUAGCAAAAUAAACUGAAUUUUAGAUUGCAUCUUAUUAGUUAUAGAAUUUAACUCAUGACCCAAAAUAAAAGAAAACUCAUGAAUAAUCCUAUUUCAUACGGUUUAAUAUUCAUCAUGCAUGCCGUCUAGCGCUUAGGGACGCGCAGGAAAGUUUGGGAUGGCUGGGACACGUCAGCAAGUCGGCUUUAUCUUCUCAUUUUAUUUGUUAUUUGACCCCUUGACCGUUGCUUGCUUCCUCCACAAGAAGUUCAUCUCGAAAAAUUAAAGCUUGACAAAAUUUCGUUUUUUUUACCCUCUCAAAUUUUUAUAUAAGUUAGAUUUUAAAAGCUUGACAAAAUUUCCUCUUUUUACCCUCUCAAUUUUUAUAUAAUUAGAUUUUAAAUUCUUUUGAGAGCUAAAUUGCAUUUUUGCCUUUUUAUUCGCGCAUGGGUUGGCGUUAUGUGAGAAAUUAAAGGUAUGAUUGCUCAGGUCAAUUUUUAAUUAUAAUUUAGAUUUUUAAGUUUUGAAGAAUUUCUUUCUUAAUUUUUUAAGAAUUUCAGAUUUACCCCUUAAAUUUUUGUUGGUUGCCAAACAAAAAAUAAAGUUGAUGGGCCUAAUAAUAAAAUAGGGUAUAAAAUGGUAAAUCUAUCGCUACGAAUCUAUCUAAUGAAGAACUAAUUCCCUAUAAAAAAAAAAAAAAUUCUCAACUUUAGGUCUAGUUCCAAUUCUCUCUUAAUUUUUUAUCUAGAAAAAAAUCUAAAACUUUAGAUCCAGUCCAAAUUUGUCCCCAACUUUUAUUUGACUUAAAAAACUCAACUUUAAAUUCAAUCUUAAAUCUAUUUCAAACUUUUUAUCUUUAUCUAAGAGAAAAAUCAUCAAUUUUGACUUUAGUUUCAAAUUUGCCUCCAUUAGUCCUCUAUUCAAAAAUCAUUGUUAGUUGUCCGUAAUUUUCAUAUUCUAUAAUAGUUUUAUUUUGGAGAUAACUUUUCACGUCACCUUCCUAACGUGGAUCUCUUAUCAAUGUGUAAAUGCCAUAUUAAGUAGGGAUUACACCACGAGCCUAGAUUUGAAAAUAAAUUGAAAGCUGGUGAUUUUUUAGACAAAACAAAAUUCAGGUUUUGGGGUAUUUUCUUUAAAAAAAAAAAAAUAGAGGCAAAUUCGGGACUGAAUCUAAAGUUCGGGUUUUUUUUUUAGACAAAAAAAAUUGGAACAAAAUUACGAUUAGACUUAAAGUUGGAAAUGUUUUAGGAAAUUAGAUAAUUUAAUCAAGAGAAAAAUCAUAGACAAGAAAAAGAUAAAUACGAAUUCGUUGAGUUGAUAGGGAUAACUGAAGAAAAUAAUGCAAUUGAAAAAUGUAAAUUCCAUGAUAUAAGAAGUUGGCAAAAAUUAGGAUGAUAAGGCUGACUUGAAAAGGUAAGGAUAAUUUCUUUGCUUCGUCACGCUAACCAACCCAAACUUGACCACCAAGGAUAAUUCACUUUCCUUUGUUCUCUCGAGGCUCCAUGGAGCUCCAUUAUAAGCUAUUUUACCCCUUUCUUCUUCUUCUUCUUCUUCUUCUUUUUUUGAUCUUUCUAAACUUUACUAAUUCACAAUUAUUUAGCAUAUAUGAUCCACGAAGACUGUGAUUAACAACAAUAAAUAGCAACAAAACAGCCGCAUCAAAUAGAUGAAAAAUCUCGUAGCUUUUUCUUAAGCGAAACCUAUCAUUUUUCAAUCCUCUUUGAGCUUCAAUACCCAAAAGCAUCAAUUACAUUGUAAUGUUUAUAGCGGAGAAAUUACUAAAUCAAUCAUAAAUUUAUAAUACGGAUGUAAAUUUCAUCAUUAAUUUUUUCAUUUCUCAAGCCACUUCAAAUGAUAAUUCUAAAAGUUGAAAAUUCUACAAAAAUCCGAAUAGGAGGAUGAGACCGAUUUGCAGGGAGGGUGAAAAGGGGGGGAAUUAAAAAGUAUUAUGCGAAACUUGGUGACCAAGGAGGUGUUAUCCUUAGUCAAAAAGGAGAUAAAGAAGGAAGAACGUGAAGGAGGGGUUGGAAAAUGACCGUGCGCCUGACGUGUCUGCGCUGUUGGUCACAAGGACGUGUUCUUGCUAGUCAACAUCAAGGUGAUUGUCGUACAAAAAGCAAGGGGGGAUUCCAUGCCGGUGUUUCUUUUUCUUGGAAAAUUGGUGUUCGAUCUCAUCCUUAUUGGUAUUCACACUCUUUUGGUCAAGCUCCUAAGCAGGAACGAGGACAAAAAGCAACAUGAAAUUGGAGAUCAAACUAAAUUUUGAAGAAGGGAGGAGGAAAACUAGCAUUAUAAACCGAAAUCCAUAUGCCUAACUAGCAUUCGGAACAGAUUUCUGAACAUCUUCAACAGGUCCUCUCCUUCCUCUUUGUUUGUUUGUUUUGUUUUUGCUAAGAAAGUAAGUAAAUAGAUUAUUAGAAUGAAAAAAAAAUAAUAUAUGGGGUGCAUACUCGAGAGACUUGGUAAAAAAACUAUAAAAUAAUUAAAUAAUGAAAAUAAUUUUAAAAAAAAUGUAUAUAUACUUAUCAAGUUCAAUUGAGAAUUGGAUUGGUACUCACCAAUUUCAUUAGAUUGAAAUCAGGAUUUGGAUCAGUCCUCAUGGGAACCGCCAAUUUUGUACUAGUUCAGCCUGAUUUUGUGCCGUUUAGAUGAUUUCCGAUUUCUUAACACACCUCUAAUUGUGACUUUUAUAAAGUAUAUUGUAAAUACCUCACAGUUAUGGCUACUUUAAAAUUUCAGCACCCUUUGAUGACUUUCUAGGAAGCCACCGCAGCCAACAUUGAAGUGCUACAAUUUAUAAAAUAUGUAUUUCAUAACCACAAAAAGCCACGUCAUCUUAUACAUUUUUACCAAACUGGCUCUACUAAUUUUGAAAGGGAAAGACCAAGAACAAAGAGUCAACGUCAAGUCUUCGGGCAUUAAUUAUUGCCGACGAUACCUAAUCCACGACGGGUGGUCCUGGUCAAGCAGGCUAGAAAAACUCACUCUUUGCACGGAUAUCGUGAAAAACAGAAUAUAACACGUGUUUUUCAUUUUUAUCUUUUGUACAAUUUAUUUUCGAUUUGCUCUUAAUCCGACUUUUAUAUGGAUAUUUCCUUUUUACUUUCUCUUGUUCAUUAAAUUUUUGCAUCGAGUACAUAAAUACUGAUGCGUACCUGUAUUUUUCAAUCUUUUUUCAUUUCAAAUUCUUUUCAUUUACCUUGCUUGAAAUUUUUUUUGCAACUUUACAGUGACUUUCUACAUUUAUAUAUGUUAAUAUUUUUAUUUAGACUCUUUUAUAUUGUUGCAUCGAUUUCACUGGCAAAUUAUUUUGGUUAUGUCCUUACUUUUGUUAUCAACGUAAGUACAUUGUCAAUAAGUAUGAUAUACAAAAAGGGGGGAAAAGAAAUGGUGAACUCGUACCGACUCAGGAUUGGAAGGAAAAAAUACACUUAUCGAAGCUAAAUCGCCUGGUGCCAAUCGUGACCACUAGCUCAUACAGCCAGCUGCAUUGUCUAUUUUCGACAGCCGUGAAGCAACUUUUUAUGAGAGCAUCUUAAUCUCUCUUUCUGCUGGCAACCCACUUCAUCAAAUACUUUACAUGGCCAGCCCGACCACAUUUUUUCCCAUUACUUUCCUCACUGGCAAUGAGUUGAACUGAAUGAGUCUGGAAACGUCAAAGGUUUUGGUGGAAUGCUAGACUGCGUAUCGGAGGACAGUGUUGAACUGGAGGAAGUGCCUAAGGCUUGAGGAAGGCUCGUGUGGAGGUUGAUACCAGAGCUUUCUUCUUCUCCAUGGCUAGUUGGUUCCCAUUGCUCCACGAGGGGAUGCAAAAUAUUGACAAUGUGGCCCAUGUCCGGUCUCUGGAACGGUUCCUCAGCAGUGCAAUGACGAGCCAGCUCAGCAACUUUGAUUAUACUCUCUAAGGUUUCUUCAUCGGGGUCAAGAGUGUGGUCGAUAGCUUUCAGGAUGUUUUCCUUAUCGAUCAGAACUCUACGGAACCAAGUGACCAAGUGCGCCCUCUCAUCUGGCAUGGUGUUGUCUAAUGCUUUUCUACCGGUAAUGAUCUCCAUCAAGACAGCACCAAAUGCGUAAACGUCCACCUUUGUAGUUACCCUUCCAGUGGCUGUACGGACAGAAAAAGACCCAUACAAAGUUCAAUGCAAUUUCAUCGAUAAGGAAAAGAAAAGCCUCUGCUCAGAUUUCAUGUUAAGAGAAGCUAAAAGCGCCCCAAGAAUGGGUAACAUAAAGAAGUCACCCUUGGUUUCUAAUCAACAAUUUGUAGUCAGGUGAUUUCACUAUCCCCCUAAUGUGGAUCAGAGCAAUUGAAUUGACUUAGAUAUUUUAACAGCAAUCGUGCACAUUUGAGUUAAUUAAUGCGUGCUGAUCAAUGAGGUGAAAACAUAGAUAUAAAGUCCACUAGUUCGUCUGCAGGACUCCUAUCCAUUAUUACUACUGAAAGAUAUCACACUUAUGUAAUCUCGAUGAAAGAAACAAUAGAGAUCAAUUUACCUAAUGCAUAUUCAGGAGCUAAAUACCCAAAAGUUCCAGCCAACUGUGUCUGCAUGGAAUACUUCCCAUCAGGAACAUUUUUAACCAAACCAAAGUCAGCAACUUUGGCUCUCAUGUCAUCUUCCAGCAGUAUGUUUACUGGCUUCAAAUCCCUAUGGAUAAAUUUUUGUUGGGCUAAACUGUGCAGGUAUUCCACUCCUCUAGCAACAUCCAAAGCAAUGGUCACCCUUUGCUUCCAAGUCAGAGGUGCAUACCCCUUCUCUUGCCACUCGAACAGAUGUUGCGCGAGAGUCCCUUGUGGCAUAUAUUCAUACACUAAAAGCCUCUCAUCACCUUUGAUACAAUACCCUAAAAGCAUGACUAAAUGCCUAUGCCUCACUUUUGUAAGUACUGCAAUCUCAGCUUGGAAUCCCUUCAUUCCCUUCGUGCCCAUUGCCCCAGAUUCCAUUCUUUUAACAGCAAUUUUGGUGCCAUCAUGCAACUCCCCUUUGUAAACAACACCAAAACCACCUCUUCCUAAAAUGUUCUCUUCACUAAAAUUACAAGUCGCUUGUCUAAGGACUUCAAUUGAAAUUUUAACAUUUCCUCCUUUAAGAACGGGAAAAUCACUAUGGUCCCCACUGCUUUGGCUAUGCAAUUCACUUGGAAGCCCACCAUAACCAUUCAUACCAUUCCCGGCCCCAUUCUUAGCUACUUCCAUCCCAAUUUCCGGAUUGUCUACACUAUUAAAUUUCCUGUGUCGUCGGAUGAUGUAACGGAAUUUGUACAAGACAAGCAACACCACCACGAUGAAAAUAAGGACACCUACGACAACAGCAGCAAUUACACCAUCUGAAAGUGAAGAACCAUUUGACGAUCCAGGUGAGCCACCAUCAGUCGAAUUCGUCCCUGAACCACCGCUGCCUCAGCCACCAGUGUCCGUUUUACCAAUUAAUGGAUUACCAAUAGUAGUCAAUUUCACUGAGGCUGGGAAAACCGGUAUCGACCCAUUGAGAUUAUUGUUCGACACAUCAAGAACUUGAAGCUGAGUCAGCGUAGUCAAGCUUUCCGGAAUAGAGCCAGUAAGAUUAUUAUCGUUCAACAGCAGCGUGCGGAGCAAGGUGAGAUUCGCAAAUGCGGGCGAGAUGGUCCCACUAAACCCCCGCUUCGAGAAAAUAACAGAGGUCACAUUCUUCCCCUGGCAAGAAAUGGCACUCUAGCUGCCGUUGCAAGCAUCAUUCCCAGUCCAAGAAUCCGCCGGCGUGAUCGGAUACCCCAACGUACUAGCCACCUCAAGCAACGUAGUAACCUGUGGGUCGCAAGGGCCCGGCGCACUGUUGCAAAAGCUAUUGGUACCCCCGUAGGUAACGCUAAUUCCACUGCUAUUACUAGGGACGGGACCCUGCAACUUAUUGUUAUCCAAGGACACAUUCUUCAAGCCGGGGAGUGCCAACAGCGAGGCGGGCACAAGCCCAGUGAACUGGUUGUAGCUAAGCUGGAGAUCGAGCAAAUUAGUGCAUUGCGAGAGAUCGGGGAUCGGACCUGUGAACUGGUUGUUCUGGAGCCAGACCCGGCUCAGCUGGGUCAUCCCGGCCAACACGCUGAUGCCGCCGGAAAGCCCCAUCGCCUGGUUGUUGAUCCAGAGGUUCUGGAUCGAUGAAGUGCCGAAGGAGGAGGGGAGGGGCCCGGUGAGGUUGUUGUAGGAGAGACUCAGACUCAUCAGGCUAGGGAGGGUUCCGAGGAAGUCAGGGAUCGUGCCGGUGAUGUUGGUGUUGUCGGCGUAGAGGACAGUCAGGGACGUCGAGGCGUUGAGCUCCGCCGGGAUCUGCCAGGAGGGGAGGUCAUGAUUUUCGCUGAGGCUGAGGGUCUGGAGGCUGGUGAGGCCCUGGAAGGCGCCGGAGGUGAUGGAGGUGAAGUUGUUGCCGUCGAGGUAGAUGGACUGGAGGGAGACGAGGCCGGCGAAGGAAGGGACGGCGCCGGAGAGGGAGUUGCUCUGGAGGGAGAGGCUCUGGAGCUGGGAGAGGGAGGAAAGAUCCGAGGGGAGGGCGCCGGAGAGGGAGGAGGAAGAGAGGUUUAUGACGGUGACCCGGGAGGAGGAGUCGCAGCUGACGCCUGUCCACUUGCAGUAGGUCUGGCCCGAGGACCAGCCCGACGGCUUGAGGGCGGCGAGGAUCUCGGCCAUGACGGCGGAGUCGUCGGCGGAGACGGCGGAGGCGGCGAGGAAGAGGAGGAGGAGGAGGAGGAGGAAGGGGGCCGGAGAGCGGAGGCUCCCUGCGGCCAUUGUCGACGGCGUUGCUGUGGGUCGAGAGAGAGAAAGGCGUAAGCAGAGGGGGUGGGAUGCGCGGAGAAGGAAACAGAGGAAGUCGCGGUCGUUCUCUGUUUGUUCUCCUACGAGGCGAGAGAGAGAGAAAAACCCAGCAAAUUCAAGUGUCGAGAAGACUUUGCGGGAGUGUUACGUAUUUACUGAGGAGCAGGUCUUAUGAACAAGAGAAGGACGCGAGGGAGAGCGGCAUCACCCGGGAAAAUGGGGUCCAACAAUGUAGGAAACACGUGGACGCAUCGUACACGUCAGCAAAUCUCAGUCUCCAAUUUUCUUAUUAUAUAUAUAUUUUUUCGGUAAUUGAUAUAUAUUUUUUAAUUUACCCCGCUUUUACCAUUCCUUGCUCCCUACUCCCCCGAGAAGCCGCAUCUUUACCCUCCGAUGCUUGAAGUACUCAAAAAGAAUUUUGAUUUCAACCUUCUCAAUAUUAUAUUAUAACAAGUUAUGUAUUAUUUUUUUUUCAAAACAGUAUUUUAUUGAUGAGCUUGAGAAUUUUGCCUUUUUUGUAGGCACCCUUGCCUCUCUCCCUCCCAUUAAAUUUGAGAAAUUGGGGAAAUAAAAGAGGAAAUCAUUGGUGAAAAAUUCUAGAAGAAUCCGAAAUCCGCAAUGAUUAGGAGGAUGGGACGAAUUUGCAAGUAAUGUGGAAAAGGGGGAAGUAUAAUGCGAAACUCAGUGGCCAAGAAUGUGUUGUCCGUUAGUCAAAAUAAGAGAAUAUUCAAUUUCGAUGCUUUUCUUUUUUCUUGACUUUGCUAAUGAGAAAUCAAUUAGGAUUAAUUUUCAGUCAUUCUUUUAUGAUGUGAUACUAUCUGUUUGUUAAAUAAACAGAAAAUCCAGGAAAAAAAUUGAAAUUAAGGGUGUGUUUGUUUUGAAAAGAAUAUCACUUGAAAAAUAUUUUCUUAAAAAUAAUCAUUUGUAUUGCUUACAAUAAUGAACAAGCGAAAAGUAUCUUCAUUAUCCAUGAAAAUGUUUAGUUAUAAAUUAUUAUCAAUUUAACUAAUAACUUCAAGAGAUAUAAGCGAUCAUUUUAAAAAAAAAAUACUUUUUAAAUUAUUUAUUUUUAGCAAAAUAAACUGAAUUUUAGGUUGCAUCUUAUUAGUUAUGGAAUUUAACUCGAGACCAAAAAAAAAAAGGAAAACUCAUGAAUAAUCCUAUUUCAUAUGGUUUAAUAUUCAUCAUACAUGCCGUCUAGCUCUGAGGGAUGCGCAGGAAAGAUUGGGAUAGCUGGGACACGUCAGCAAGUCGGCUUUAUCUUCUCAUUUUAUUUGUUAUUUGACCCCUUGACCGUUGCUUGCUUCCUCCACAAGAAGUUCAUCUCGAAAAAUUAAAGCUUGACAAAAUUUCUUUUUUUUACCCUCUCAAUUUUUAUAUAAGUUAGAUUUUAAAAGCUUGACAAAAUUUCCUCUUUUUUACCCUCUCAAUUUUUAUAUAAUUAGAUUUUAAAUUUUUUUAAGAGAUAAAUUGCAUUUUUGCCUUUUUAUUUGCGCGUGGGUUGGUGUUAUGUGAGAAAUUAAAGGUAUGAUUGCUCAGGUCAAUUUUUAAUUAUAAUUUAGAUUUUUAAGUUUUUAAGAAUUUCUUUCUUAAUUUUUUAAGAAUUUCAGAUUUACCCCUUAAAUUUUUUUUGGUUGCCAAAAUAAAAAAGUUGAUGCGCCUAACAAUAAAAUAGGGUAUGAAACAUGGUAACUCUAUCCUUACGAAUCUAUCUAAUGAAGAACUAAUUCCCUAUUUUUUUUUUAAAAAAAAAAUCUCAACUUUAGGUCUAGUUCCAAUUCUUUCUUAAUUUUUUUUGUCUAGAAAAAAUUCUAAAACUUUAGAUCCAUUCCAAAUUUGUCCCCAACUUUUAUUUGACUGAAAAAACUCAACUUUAAAUUCAAUCUCAAAUCUAUUUCAAACUUUUUAUCUUUAUCUAAGAGAAAAAUCAUCAAUUUUGACUUUAGUUUCAAAUUUGCCUCCAUUAGUCCUCUAUUAAAAAAAUCAUCAUUAGUUGUCCGUAAUUUUCGUAUUCUAUAAUAGUUUUAUUUUGGAGAUAACUUUUCACACCACCUUCCUAACGUGGAUCUCUUAUCAAUGUGUAAAUGCCAUGUUAAGUAGGGAUUGCACCAUGAGCCUAGAUUUGAAAAUAAAUUGAAAGUUGGUGAUUUUUUUAGAUAAAAAAAAAAAUCGAGGCAAAUUCGGGACUGAAACUAAAGUUUGGGCUUUUUUUUAGACAAAAAAAUUGGACAAAAUUAAGAUUAAAGUUGGAUUUUUUUUAGGAAAUUAGGUCAUUUAAUCAAGAGAAAAAUCAUAGACAAGAAAAAAAUAAAUACAAAUUCGUUGAGUUGAUAGGGAUAACUGAAGAAAAUAAUGCAAUUGAAAAAUGAAAAUUCUAUGAUAUAAGAAGUUGGCAAAAAUUAGGAGACUGACUUGCAAAGGUAAGGAUAAUUUCUUAAACUUUUUUUUCAGACAAAAAAAAUUGGAACAAAUUUAAGAUUAGACUUAAAGUUGGAAAUUUUUUAGGAAAUUAUAUCAUUUAAUCAAGAGAAAAAUCAUAGACAAGAAAAAGAUAAAUACGAAUUCGUUGAGUUGAUAGGGAUAACUAAAGAAAAUAAUGUACGAUUCACUUUCUUUUGCUCUCUCGAGGCACCAUGGAGCUUCUUCUUCUUUAGAUCAUUUAAUCAAGAGAAAAAAUCAUAGACAAGAAAAAGAUAAAUACGGAUUCGUUGAGUGAUAGGGAUAACUGAAGAAAAUAAUGCAAUUGAAAAAUGAAAAUUCUAUGAUAUAAGAAGUUGGCAAAAAUUAGGAGGAUAAGACUAACUUGCAAGGGUAAGGAUAAUUUCUUAAUCUUUUUUUUUUCAGAUAAAAAAAAUUGGAACAAAAUUAAGAUUAGACUCACACAUGACAAAAUUUCUAUUUCUCGAUUUCUCUGUUUCUUUGUUCCCCGGAACAGGUUUGGAACAGAAAUCCGUUUGGUAACGCAAUUUGAUUUCUCUAUUUCUGAAAUAGAUCUCUAUUUCAGAAAUAGAGAAAUUGAAGAAAUCAGAAGCUGAAAUUUUUAACUUCUUAAUUUCUAAAAUAGAAAUCAGAAACUAAAAUCAAACCAUAUAAAAGAACCUUGCACUUUCUUGCUAACUUAAUUCACUCAUAACCACAACUUCACACAUUAUUGCUAAUUUUCUUUUUCUUAUUUUGCUCGUGUUUUUUUUUUUUUUUUGCAUUUUUUUUUAUAACUUCCUCUUUAUGAUGAAAGGCAAUCGAAUGGGUCCCUAAUUUUCAAAAACGAUCAAAGUUCUUAAAUGCUUACUUAAAAACGAUGGGGCUCUUUCCUCCUAGAAAAGGUACGGGUAUGGCCAAUUGAAGAAAAAGUUCUUACAUAAUAGAUGAAUAAAGAACGUGCCUAGAAAUUUAACCUUAUUUUUUUACGAAUUCAAAAUUCUUGCAAAAUCAAAAUAAUUAGAUUGUUACACAAUCUUGAAUUUUAAUUCGAAUGCAAAAGAUUCAAGAGAAACUCUCUCUUUGCUAUGCAAGGGCCAUUAAAGGUUCAUUGAGCAACAAUAAAGAAAUUAGGGAUGAGUAACUGGACUAAUUCAAUUCCAGAAUCAAAAUAAACCGACCUUCCCCCAAUUGAUUCCUAACCAUAAAUGUUACUUUAAGGUAGAAUUCUCUUAUAUUCCUUUACACCAUUAAUUUUAUUUUGUUGAUAAUCUUGUAUAAUACUAGUUUUUGAUAAAAUGACAAGGCUGUAUAGGCGUCAUUGAUGGCACCCAUAUUCAUGCUUCCGCAGUAUUUGUCUGAACCUACGUAGGAUGAGCUUGCAAACGAUACAUUGACCAAGGAGGGAAACCAAAUAAAUAUGCUUAGGAAAACAAUUUCUAAUAAAAUGGCAAUAGAUAAUAAUAUGCCGGAAAUUCUAUGAAAUUGUAUUUUCAACGUUUGUAAUGUAUUAGUAUUAUUUCGGCUAUUAUUUUGUAUUUGAGGAUUUCCUAUGUUAUUUUAGUAUUAUUUCGACUAUUAUUUUGUAUUUGAGGAUUUCCUAUGUUGUUAUCUAAUCAAUUUCUAUUCCUAGAAAUAGAAAUUUUGUUCUGUUAUCAAACGGAUUUCUGUUUUAGAAAUAGAAAUUUUGAGUCGUUAUCAAACAGGUUUCUUUGCUCAGAAACUUGUUCGGGAAAUAGAAAUUAAGAAAUUGAUUUCUGGCAACCUUAAAGUUGGAAAUUUUUUAGGAAAUUAGAUCAUUUAAUCCAGAGAAAAAUCAUAGACAAGAAAAAGAUAAAUAUGAAUUCGUUGAGUUGAUAGGGAUAACUGAAGAAAAUAAUGCAUGAUUUACUUUCUUUUGCUCUCUCGAGGCACCAUGGAGCUUCUUUUUCUUCUUCUUCUUUAACUGAAGAAAAUAAUGCAUGAUUUACUUUCUUUUGCUCUCUCGAGGCACCAUGGAGCUUCUUUUUCUUCUUCUUCUUUAACUGAAGAAAAUAAUGCAUGAUUCACUUUCUUUUGCUCUCUCGAGGCACCAUGGAGCUUCUUCUUCUUCUUCAAAUGAUAUUGAAAAUUCUACAAAAAUCCGAAAUAGGAGGAUGAGACCGAUUUGCAGGGAGGGUAGGGGGGAAUUAAAAGUAUUAUGCGAAACUUGGUGACCAAGGAGGUCUUAUCCUUAGUCAAAAAGGAGAUAAAGAAGGAAGAACGUGAAGGAGGGGUUGGAAAAUGACCGUGCGCUUGACGUGUCCGCGCCGUUGGUCACGAGGACUUGUUGUUGCUAGUCAAGAUUAAGGUGAUUGUCGUACAAAAAGCAAGGGGGGAUUCCAUGUCGGUGUUUCUUUUUCUUGGAAAAUUGGUGUUUGAUCUCAUCCUUUUGGUAUUCACACUCUUUUCGUCAAGCUCCUAGACAGGAACAAGGACAAAAGGCAACAUGAAAUUGGAGACCAAACUAAAUUUUGAAGAAGUGAGGAGGAGAUCGAUAACUCAUAGAAUUUGCAAUUAAGGUUUCCCUUUUAUCUAUUUUGUGAAAAGCAAAUAAUUCAAAAAAAAUUAUGAGAACAAGAAAUAUUUUCAUCGCCCACAAAUAAAAUUAGAUAUGAAUAAUUAUCGAUAAUUAAAACAUAUUUUAUUAGCUGAUUAUUUGGAGUGCUCAAUUUUAGGAACGUGUUUUUUGAAUCAUUCAUUUUUCACAAAUAAAAGAAUCUUAUAGACAUCUAAAGACAAAUCAUAUUCAUCUCAUCCUAGCAUAACUUGUAAGCACUUUGGGUGUAUUUGUUUUUGGAAAAAUUUCGUGAUAAAUGAAAAUGUUUUUCAAAAAAUCAUUGUUUACGAAAUUUUUUUACCUUUUCAGAUUAGAGAAUUUAUUUCCUAACUUUGAGCACAUGUUUUAUUAUUAUUAUUAUUAUUAUUAUUAUUAUUAUUAUUAUUAUUAUUAUUAUUAUUAUUAUUAUUAUUAUUAUUAUUAUUAUUAUUAUUAUUGUAAAUGGUUUUCGAUCAACUAAUCAUUUUUAACAAAUUAAAUGCGUGAAAGUUUAAAAAAUUAAUUUGUAAGAAAAUUUAAACAUAUACUCAUUGAUGUCCUUUCCUGAUGGAGCUCUGCACAACUAGCUGCGUUGCCUAUUUCUCCAAUUCAGUGGCGACCAAUCAUUGGGGUUUGCCCAGUGGCUACCCUUUUAACAUGGAAUGAGGAGACGGGGGGUUCAAAUCCCUAUCUUCUCAGGAGUUGGGGUGGGGACGAUUUAGUUUUAGGAGUGGGUUUCGACUCCCAUACUUUGCAAUGAGGCAGAGUAAAAGUCUGAGAGUGAGAGUUAGAAUAGAGAUAGAGUUGGAUUGACAAAAAAAAUGAAAUUUAGUGUCGACCCAUUAAUAUUUUAAUAUGCAUUAGCACGAGAUUUUCACCAAUUAAUAUACAACUCCCUGAAAAGAAAUAUUACUUUCUACAAAAGACAUAUUGGCCCUAAUCCCAAACAUCAAUUCAUUAUGGGGGCAUUCGUAUGGUGUUGAAGAACGAAUCUCCGGAUCGCAAUUUAUCGUAAAUAUUUAUUAUUCUUUCAUAAUUUUUACACAAGAUAUUGAAACACGCCAAAAAUUUAAAAGGGUUAAGGAUCGAUGGUGAAAAUCACUCCUCUCUAUCCUAUGGCCAUCAUUGGAUUUGCUUCCCAAGAAUCUUUUGAAACCUCUUUCAUUAUAAACCGAAAUCCGUAUGCCUAACUAGCAUUUGGAACAAAUUUCCAAUAAUAACUUUAGUCGCAAAAAAAAACAUUCUAACUAGAGAUGAGCAUAGUCCAAAUAGCCAAUUCCUACGUUGGAAUCAGAAACUAUCCACUAAAGACCGAUUUUGAAAAACUUGGAACAAGGAACCGCUCGUUGAUUCCAUAGAUCCACCCAAGAAUUGAUUCUCAAUCCCUACAAAGUUGCAUUUAUUAAUUUAUAUCAUGACAAACCUAGUUUCUAUUUAGAGCACCAAACCUUAUUCGGCCUUAAAUUCAGGUUGAAUUGUGAGCUAUUGAUUUUGAGUAGGGAUUGGGAAAUAUAGAGCAGAACCAAUAGACAAUACUCGUUAAGUAGGAACUCAAUGUCGUUAAAGGUCAUGAUGUGGUCUUCUUAGGGUUUUCUGACAUCAAGAACAUGUGGAGAAUUAGACUCUACGUUAGAAGUCCUAACCUCCAAAGAAAUUAAAAAAUUAAUCACUUGAUCCAUUUUUUUUUCAACAUCAACUAAUUUAAUCAAGGAAAUGGCUAAUGAGAGACCUAAUUAUUGAAUUUCAUAUUAUGACAAUAAAGCACCGCAACAUUUAUGGACAUCUCCAACCGAUUCUCUCCUUUCUCUUCAUUUGUCUAUUUUGUUUUGGCUAAGAAAGUAUGUAAAUAGAUUAUUAGAAUGAAAAAAAGAAGUAAGAGAUUAAUCCUAUUACACACUCAAAAGAUAAAAUUAGUCAAUAAUAUCCAACAAAUAUAUAUUGGUUAAAAAAAGUAGAAAAUAAUUAAGUAAUUGAGAUAUAAUUUCCUUUUUUUUUAAUAUAUAUACGUACUGGUCUAAUCCAAGUAGGCGAUUCCACGCAUGUAAUCGAGAACCAAAUCAAUACUCACUUGUUUUAUUAAAUUGGAACCAGGAGCCAGACUAGUUCCCACGGGAACUACCGGUUUUGUGCUAGUCUAGUCUAGUUUCAUGCAAUUCCCAAGUCUUUUGAUCCAUCUGUUUUCAACAUCAACUAAUUUAAUUAUACUCUUAAAAUGAGUCAUUGGCUCUUAAUUUUGUAUCAUGACAACGAAGUGCCACAAUAUUUAUGAACAUCUUGAAUAGGUCCUCUCCUUCUUCUUUGUUUGUUUGUUUUGUUUUUGCUAAGAAAGCAAGUAAAUAGAUUAUUAGAAUGAAAAAAAAUGGGGUACAUACUCGAGAGACUUGGUAAAAAAAACUACAAAAUAAUUAAAUAAUGAAAAUAAUUAUAAAAAAUUAAAUAUACUUGUCAAGUUCAAGUAGGAAUUGGAUUAGUACUCACUGAUUUCAUUAGGUUGAAACCAGGACCUGGACCAGUCCUCAUGGGAAUUGCUAGUUUUGUACUAGUCUGGCUUGUUUUUGUGCCGUUUAGAUGAUUUCCGAUUUCUUAACACACCUCUAAUUGUGACUUUUAUAAAGUAUAUUGUAAAUACCUCACACUUAUGGCUACUUUAAAAUUUCAGCAGCCUUUGAUGACUUUCUAGGAAGCCACCGCAGCCAACAUUGAAGUGCUACAAUUUAUAAAAUAUGCAUUUCAUAACCACAAAAAGCCACGUCAUCUUAUACAUUUUUACCAAACUGGCUCUACUAAUUUUGAAAGGGGAAGACCAAGAACAGAGAGUCAACGUCAAGUCUUCGGGCAUUAAUCAUCGCCGACAAUACCUAAUCCACGGCAGGUGGUCCUGGUAAAGCAGACUAGAAAAACUCACUUUUUGCACGGAUAUUGUGAAAAAGCAGAAUAUAACACGUGUUUUUCUUUUUUAUCUUUUGUAUAAUUUAUUUUCGAUUUGCUUUUAAUCCGACUUUUAUAUGGAUAUUGUUAUGAAAUACAUGAAUGGAUAGAAUGCAUGAAUGAAUAUUCAUUAUAUUCAUCUUAUCCAAUGUAUUUAUUAUGGUACAUUUGUAUCAAAUGUUCUAAGUACAUCUCCCUAUACAAUGAACGUUCGUCUCCCUUAUCAUGUACAUGUAUCAUUCGAUACAUUGAUAUUAAUGAUAAGUACAUUCUUGUUCUCCUAUAAAUAGGAGUUUAGUUUUGAUGUACAAUAUACAAUCACACAGAAACACGACAGUGAGAUACUAGAAAUAAAGCUCUCUCAUCUUGCUACUAUCUCUAGUGUUCACUUUCUUUCUCUUCUUUAAUCUCUUCUCUAUUAUAUAUUCGCCACGUGAUAUUUUACAACACGUUAUCAGCACGAGGAUCUACCGAUUGAGUAAGUAACUUUUGCAAGAACGAAGAUCUACCGAUUCAGUAAGUAAAUUUUGCAAGGUGCGUAUUAUUUUUAUUAAUCAACUUAUACUUCAUUUUCUUCUAUCAAUUCUUCAUUUUUAUUUUUCUUGGCCCGAAGCCAAAAUUCAAAUCUAAAAGUAUCCUUCUGCUCCUGAAGUAGCGGUGGAUAUUUGGAAAUCCUUUUAAUUAAUUUAAGGAUUUAUUUUUGCAAGGAUUAUGACAAAUAUUGAAAAGCCCAAAUUCCACAUCCUGGAAGUGAGUGGAAAGAAUUAUCUAUCCUGGUGCCUUGACAUGGAAAUGCACCUCCAAGGGCAAGGUCUCGCUAAUACAAUUACAGAGGAUGGAACCUCAAAUGAAAAGGAUAAAGCAAAUGCGCUGAUUUUUAUUCGCCGUCAUUUGCAUGAGAGCCUGCAGACUCAAUAUUUAUCCGUUCGAGACCCGCAUAUCUUGUGGAGGAGGUUGAAUGAUAGGUAUGAUCAUACAAAAACUGUUAUCCUCCCUCAAGCACAAUAUGAUUGGCAAAAUCUCAGAUUGCAAGAUUUUAAAUCAGUGUCUGACUAUAAUUCUGCUUUAUUUGAUAUCGUUUCUCGGCUAGAGUUAUGCGGUAUCAAACUCACUGAUGCAGAAUUGCUUGAGAAAACUUUUUCCACCUUUCAUGCUUCAAAUAUUGUAUUGCAACAGCAAUACCGGCAACGUCAAUUUGCCACAUUCUGAAUUAAUUUCUGUGCUUCUUACUGCCGAGCAAACUAAUGAAUUACUGCUCAAAAAUCAUGAUCUUAAACCUGCUGGCUCAAAAGCAUUGCCUGAAGCACAUGCUAACUUUGAGAAAAAUACUAGCCAUUUUAAGGGCUAUAAGCGCAGGCAAGAACAUAAUCCUAGAAGGGAUGGCAAGAAAUUUAACCGCCCUAGGAAAUCAAACUUUGGCCUGAAUCAUGGCAAAGAAAAGAAGCAAAAGAAGGUGAUUAAUGAAAGUAUUUGUCAUCGCUGUGGCAUGACCGGGCACUAGUCACGUACCUGUCGUAAGCCAAAACAUUUUGUUGACCUAUACCAGGCAUCUUUAAAGAAUACGGGCAAGCGUGGUGAAUCUCAUGCCAUUGAAAUCAAUCCUACUGCCAUAACCACUGUUGAGGCCAACAAUAUCUCCGUUGAUGGGACUCCUCUUGCUCCUAAAGUAGCAAAUGCAUCAUUGGAUGUCUCUGAUUUCUUUGAGGACCUCUGAUUACUUUGAUGAAUCAUAUUGGUGGAUAAUAAUUUGAACUUUGAAAUUUAUGUUGUUUCACUUUAAAUGUAUUACUUUUUUUUAUUGUUCUUUAUGAAAUACUUAUGAACCUUAUAUAAUAUUUAUCUUUGAAAUUUUAUUCAACUAUAUAACUAAAAUGCAACUUUUAUGAUACUUGACACCUGAAGUUGUCAAUAUAAAUGCAAAUGGAAAAUACCGAGAAAAAGGAAGAUGUUUGUUUGCUUGAUAGAGCAACAACACAUACUAUAUUUUGUAGUAGACACUUUUUCUCGAGUAUGACAUUACGUAAGGCACAAAUCCAUACAAUAUCAGGUUCUGUUCCGAUUAUUGAUGGUUUUGGGAAUGCUGCAAUUAUUUUGCCAAAUGGCACAAUCCUGCAUAUUGAGAAUGCGUUUCUAAGCAUUCGAUCAAAAAGGAAUUUGCUCAAUUUCAAAGAUGUACGCCGUAAUUGGUACCAUAUUGAGACUAUUUAUGAGCAAGAUAAGAAAUAUAUUGUCAUUUCCUCUUAUAAGAUGGGCCUGAAGACCAUCCAUGAGAAGCUAGAAGCUUCUUCUAUGGGUUUGUAUUGUGUCAUGAUUAAAGCUGUUGAAACCUACGCUACCAUAUCCUGGAGAUUGGUAAGCCCUGAUUAGUUUGGACUAUGGCAUGAUCACCUUGGUCAUCCUGGCGCUUCAAUGAUGCGUAGGAUAAUUUAAAAUACAAAAGGGCACCCUUUAAAGGAUAUAAAGGUAUUGUUGUCCAAAGAUUAUAAUUGUGAGGCUUACUCACAAGGAAAGCUCAUUAUCAAACCUUCUAUAACAAAGGUUAAUUUUGAAUCUCCUUUAUUAUUGCAAAGAAUUCAGGGUGAUAUUUGUGGACCAAUACAACCACCAAGUGGACCAUUUUGAUAUUUUAUGGUAUUAGUGGACGCAUCCUGUAGAUGGUCCCAUGUUUGCCUAUUAUCUACGCGCAAUGUCGCAUUUGCACGUUUACUUGCGCAGAUUAUAAAGCUCCGGGCACAAUUCAUUGAUUAUCCAAUUAAGAGCAUAAGGAUGGAUAAUGCUGGUGAAUUUACAUCAAAGAGUUUUGAUACAUAUUGUGCUUCACUCGGAAUCGAGGUUGAGCACCCGGUUGCAUAUGUUCAUACUCAAAAUGGAUUGGCAGAAUCCUUGAUUAAACGUAUCCAAAUCAUUGCCCGCACUCUAUUAUUGAGAACGAAUCUCAACGAUACUGCAUGGGGUCAUGCAAUUUUGCAUGCGGCAGCUCUAAUAAGAUUACGCCCCACUGCUAGUAUUUUACAAUCUCCCCUUCAAAUGGUUCUUGGUUAUGAACCAGAUAUUUCACAUCUACGCACCUUUGGUUGUGCAGUACAGGUGCCUGUAGCACCGCCAAAAAGGACGAAAAUGGGUCCCCAACGCCGUUUGGGCAUUUAUGUUGGGUUUAAUUCACCAUCUAUCAUUAGGUUCUUGGAACCAACUACUGGUGAUCUUUUUACUGCCAAGUUUGCAGAUUGUCAUUUCGAUGAGACUAGGUUUCCAUCAAUUGGGAUACCUACAACUUCCAUGACUGCAAAACAAAAACCAGUUAAGGUUUUUUCCUGGAAUGAGAAAAAUUUAUCUCAAUUAGACCCAAGGACUCCUGAAUGUGAAAACGAGAUGCAGCGCAUAAUCCAUUUAUAGGCUAUGGCCAAUAGACUUCCUGACGCAUUUAAUGAUGCUAUUAAGGUAACGAAGUCUCAUAUUCCAGCUGCAAAUGCUCCAGCUAGGAUAGCUGUUCCCGAAGAACAGGCUAAAAUGGAUCAAAAUCCCCUGCACUUGAAGCGUGGUAGACCGAUAGGAUCAAAAGAUACUGCUCCUCGAAAACGAAGGGGAAAGAAUCAGGAAUCCGCUCCAAAAGAGCUUGGCGUUGUGCUUGCUCCCAAAGAGCUUAUUGCCCCUGAAGAGGCACAAACCCAUGAAAGAAGCACUAGCCCCGGGAAUACUGAGAAUUCCAUUACAUAUUGUAAUGAAAUUUGGGAUCGAAAUGAAAUCAUCAUUGAUGAUGCUUUUGCAUUCUCAGUUGCUCAUCAAAUUAUGGAUGAUGAUUGUGAACCACAAUCUAUUAUUGAAUGUCGUCAAAGGCAAGAUUGGCAUAAGUGGGAGGAAGCAAUUAAAGCUGAAUUAGCUUCCCUAACUAAACGAGAGGUUUUUGGACCUGUAACUCGUAUCCCUGAUAAUGUAAAGCCCGUUGGAUAUAAAUGGGUAUUUAUCCGAAAACGAAAUGAGAAAAACGAGGUUGUCAGGUAUAAAGCCCAACUCGUUGCCCAAGGAUUCUCCCAGAGACCUGGGAUUGAUUAUAAUGAGACAUAUUCACCUGUGAUGGAUAUGAUUACAUUUCGUUUUCUCAUUAGCCUAGCAAUCUUUGAAAGAUUGGAAAUGCGUCUUAUGGACGUUGUGACGGCAUAUCUAUAUGGCUCAUUAGACUUUGAUAUUUAUAUGAAAAUUCCUAAGGGAUUCAAAAUGCCUGAAGCAUGCACUCCCCGCAAUUUAUUUUCAAUAAAAUUGCAAAGAUCCUUGUACGGGUUAAAGCAAUCCGGUCGCAUGUGGUAUCAACGCCUAAGUGAGUACCUAAUUAAGGAAAUGUACAAAAAUGAUCAUAUCUGCCCAUGCGUGUUUAUUAAGAAAUCAGAAACUGGGUUUGCUAUUAUAGCAGUUUAUGUCGAUGAUACAAAUUUAAUUGGAACUCUAGAAGAGUUAGCUGAAACUGCUGAAUAUUUGAAAAGGGAGUUUGAAGUUAAAGAUUUGGGUAAAACCAAACUUUGUCUUGGUCUAGAGCUUGAGCAUAAAGCAAAUGGAAUAAUCGUCCAUCAAUCAGCAUAUGUUGAAAGAUUGCUUAAACGUUUCAACAUGGACAAAGCUCACCCAUUGAGCACCCCUAUGGUUGUAAGGUCUCUAGAUCCCCAAAAGGACCCAUUUCGUCCUAAAGAAUCUGAUGAAGAGAUACUUGGUCCUGAAGUACCAUAUCUCAAUGCAAUUGGGGCUUUGAUGUACUUGGCACAAUGUACGAGACUAGAUAUCGCUUUUGCGGUAAAUUUAUUGGCACGUUUUAGUUCUGAGCCAACUCGGAGACAUUGGAAUGGAGUUAAACAUAUUUUCCGUUAUCUCCGAGGAACCAUAGAUUUGGGAUUAUAUUAUUCCAAGGAUUCCACUAACUCUGGUUUAGUUAGAUAUGCUGAUGCUAGAUAUAGAUCCGAUCCACAUAAGGCUCGCUCUCAAACCGGGUAUUUAUUUUGUUAUAACGUCACCGCUAUUUCUUGGCGUUCUACGAAGCAAUCGCUAGUAGCUACAUCUUCUAACCACUCUGAGAUUAUUGCUUUAUAUGAAGCUGGAAGAGAGUGUGUUUGGUUAAGAUCCGUUAUAACACAUAUUCAUAAUUCUUGUUGCUUAAUACCGGUUACAAAUUCUCCCACUAUAAUUUAUGAAGAUAAUGCUGCUUGUGUUGCACAAGUCAGGGGAGGAUAUAUCAAAGGUGAUAGGACCAAGCAUAUCUCGCCGAAAUUUUUCUAUACUCAUGAACUCCAAGAAAGUCGACAAAUUGAUGUUAAACAGAUUCGAUCCAUAAAUAAUCUUGCAGAUCUUUUUAACAAAUCAUUGCCAACAUCAAGUUUUGAGAAAUUAGUAUAUGGCAUUGGUAUGAGGCGAGUUCAUAAGAUGUAAGAUUGAUUAGCCCCAGAAAUGGCUAUAUGGCUCAAUUGAGGGGGAGAUAUUAUGAAUUAUACAUUGCAGCAUUGAUAUGUGCUAGUUCACAAGAUGCAAUAAUGAUUAGCCCCAGGAGUGGCUAUAUAUGCAUUGCACUCUUUUUUCUUUAUGUCCGGUUUUUUCCCAUAGGGUUUUUCCAGCUUAAAGUUUUUAACGAGACAAUUAAUGCAUCCAUAAAAGGGAGAGAUCAUAACAUUUGUGCUCUGCACUCUUUUUCCCUUUUUGUCCGAUUUUUAUCCCACUGGGUUUUUCCGGCUUAAGGUUUUUAAUGAGGCAGUAUCAUUCAAUGCACAUUCGUAAUGAAUAUGAUGAAUAUUCAAGGGGGACUGUUAUGAAAUACAUGAAUUGAUAGAAUACAUGAAUGAAUAUUCAUUAUAUUCAUCUUAUUCAAUGUACUUAUUAUGGUACAUUUGUAUCAAAUGUUCUAAGUACAUCUCCCUAUACAAUGAACGUUCGUCUCCCUUAUCUUGUACAUGUAUCAUUCGAUACAUUGAUAUUAAUGAUAAGUACAUUCUUGUUCUCCUAUAAAUAGGAGUUUAGUUUUGAUGUACAAUAUACAAUCACAUAGAAACACGACAGUGAGAUACUAGAAAUAAAGCUCUCUCAUCUUGCUACUAUCUCUAGUGUUCACUUGCUUUCUCUUUUUUAAUCUCUUCUCUAUUAUAUAUUUGCCACGCGAUAUUUUACAACAGAUAUUUCCUUUUUACUUUCUCUUGUUCGUUAAAUUUUUGCAUCGAGUACAUAAAUACUGAUGUAUACCUGUAUUUUUCAAUCUUUUUUUCAUUUCAAAUUCUUCUCAUUUACCUUGCUUGAAAUUUUUUUUGCAACUUUACAGUGACUUUCUAAAUUUAUAUAUGUUAAUAUUUUUAUUUAGACUCUUUUAUAUUGUUGCAUCGAUUUCACUGGGAAAUUAUUUUGGUUAUGUCCUUACUUUUGUUAUCAAUGUAAGUAUAGUGUUAAUAAGGCUAUGAAAUUUUAGCAAAAUAAAAAGGUAAAGUGAAAGUUUAUAGAACCAUGGAGUUAUGAUUUUAAAAGGAGAAACAAUAAAUGCAAUUGGAUUUGUUUUGAAUAUUGAUUAUAGUAAAAAAUUUUGUGCUUCAAGUGGUAUUGAAUAAGAUUUGCCACACUCAACUUGAACUAUGGCCAAGUGAGAAACUUGAACCAGAUAAAGAAGCUUAGUAUCCCCAAAACUUUUUUUUUUUUUUAUCAGAGCAAUACAAGUAUUUUUUUCAAGGAGAAAUAUUAUACAAAUCAUUUAUUUUUUACGAAAUAAACAUAGUUUAAUUAGACUUAAAAAAUCAUAAUCAUCUUAUCCUAGGAUAAUUUCUUCUCUAUUAUAACACUAUGACCUUAAAAAUAAAAAUACAACUAUAAUAGUUCAAUAUCAAUGGACAUCCAUCCACAUCAUGCUCUCCAAAAGAGUGAUAUGAAUACUAAAUAAUAACGAUUUGAAUACUAAAUAAUAGAUAUUUUGAUAACUUGAAAAGGUUGAUAUGAAUGUCAUCCUAUUCCGUAAUAUAUCUUAUUAGUUCUACAAUUAUUCUACUUUUGCACGUUAAAUUGUAUUUUGGAUUCUUAUUAAAAAUUAUUCAAAUUGCACUUUUCCUUCCGUGUUAAUUUUUAUUUUUUCAUUUUUUUACAUAUUAGUUGGUGGCCUUUUUGUUAAUAGACAAAAGCCCAUCAAUAUCCUUUCCUGAUGUAACUCUGCCCAACUAGCUUGCUGCGUUGCCAAUUUUCCAAUUGAAGCGAUCCUUUGAUAUUUUAAUAUGCAUUAGCUUGAUAUUUUCACCAAUUAAUAUACAAAUCCUGAAAAAUAAAAUUUUAAUAGACAAAAAGCCCAUCAAUAUCCUUUCCUGAUGUAACUCUGCCCAACUAGCUUGCUGCGUUGCCAAUUUUCCAAUUGAAGCGAUCCUUUGAUAUUUUAAUAUGCAUUAGCUUGAUAUUUUCACCAAUUAAUAUAAAAAUCCUGAAAAUAAAAUUUUAUUUUCUAGAAAAAGACAAGUUGGACCUAAAUCAAUAAAGAAAAAGAUAUUAUUAUAAAUGUCAAUUCAUUUUUGGGCACUUGUAUGGUUUCGAAGGAUGAAACUCCAGAUUGCAAUUUAUUGAAAUUAUUUUUUCCAUUAUUUUUAUUUAAAAUAUUGUAACACAAAAAAAAUUAAAAUGGUUUGUGAUUAAUGGCGAGAUUUACUCUCUUUUCUCUCCAACCCCAUGAAAAAUUAGGGAUAUGCUUUCGAAGAAUCUUUAGAAACCCCUUGUUACAAUCCAAAAUGCAUAUGCCUAUUAUCCUUUUGAACAGUUUUGCUAUAGUAAUUUCAGCUGUUGAAAGGAGCAUUGCGACUUUUGUAAAUUUUUUGGUCAACACCUCACAGCUACAGCUAUGACUACUUUAAAAUUUCAGCAGCUUAUAAUAACUUUAUAGAAAUUAGGAAGCUACUACAAUUUAUAAAAUAUGCAUUUCAUAAACAAAAAAGCCACCUCAUUUUAUAACACACCAUAACUACGUUUGUACCUAUCUGGCUCUACUAAUUUUGAAAGAGAAAGCGCAAAAACAGAGAGUCAACAUCUAGUCUUCGGGUAUUAAUUAUUCCUGACUGGGCCUGGACCACGGAUUGCAAAAUGAAGCUGGCUCAUCGCAGUUUUGCGCGUCGGAUAAACAAGCUAGCAGAUUGGGUGGUAAAAGCCCCACGUCCAGAAUUGGCUAUUUCAUCCCCGGAACUUAUGUUGGAUAAUUAUAUCGGGUAAAAGUCACCUAUAACACAUUUAUUCUGAGCUUUUCUUUGUAACAAAAAAGGCUCCAAACUAAACUAAUGUGACGCAUUUACUCCAAACUUAUACAGUGUGACAUCUUUAUUUCAAAUUUAUUUUUUGUGACAGCAAAAAUCUCAAGCCUUUACUUGUGUGACGAAUUUAUCCAAAAAAUUUGGUGUCUCAGAAAAAAGUUCGGGAUUUUUGGCUUCAAAAAAAAAGUUUGGAGUAAAUAUGAUGCAUGAGUAAAAGUUUGGGAUUUUUUGUAUCACAGAAAAAAAAAUUGAGGUAAAUGUGUCACAGUGGGCAAAGUUUUGAGUUUUUGGCGUCAUAAAAAAUAAUUUAGAUUAAAUGUGUCAUUAUAAGCAAAGUUUGGGAUUUUUUGUAGUUUUUUCCCUUAUAUUUUCACAAACCUAGCUUAAGUUGAUAAAAUUUCUGUUUUUUAGACAAAAAUAUUUUUUGUUGCAGACUAGGAAAACCAACUCUUUGCUCAGGCAUUGAGAAAAAAACAGAAUAAAAUUAUUGUCCUUUUCUUGCAUCGUGCUUUUAUUAUUGUUCUCUUGUUCCUUAAAUUUAAGAGAAGAUAGCAUAAAUGAUCCACAAAUUUUUGUCUCGAUCUGCAAUGUUGUCCUUAAACUUUUAAUUUAUUCAAUAUAAUUCUCGAAUUGUUGGUAAGUAUUCAAUGCCGUCUUUAGGCUUGCUCAAAAGGCAAACCAAAUGUUAUUUUGAUGACGUAGAUUACUAUAUGUUGAGUUGAAUUUUUAGAAAUGAUGAUUCAAUCUAUCUAUCAUUUUACCCAUCUACUUUAAACAAGGAAAAAAUUUAAGCAUUAACACGUCCAUUGUUAUUUGAUGAUAUGGAUUAUUUUAUCCGAAUUAAGAUGAAUAUCUUAUGUGGAUAAUUCAUAAAUAACUUUUUUUUUUGCCCACCAUUCAAACCUAAAAGAUUGGAAGCUACAUCACUAUUCUAGGAAUUAGAUUGAAUACAUGUAGAUAGUUCAAGGAUCAUAUUGUAUAUUGAAACAAAAUUCAUAAACUAUUUAUGUCAUUUUUCUUUGAAUUUUUUAAUCAAGUGCAUAAAUAUUGCAAUGCACCUAUGUUUUUCAAUUUUUUUUUUCAUUUAAAUGAGUUUUAUUUGGAGAGAGUCCCGACAGGGCUCUCUGCUUCAUUUAUAAACACAGACAGGAUAUAAUAAAGUCAGCGGGGCACUUCCAAAAAGCUUCCAUUAGACCUUGAUUUUACUCAAAUUAUCUAAUAAAUGUUUUUGGAGGUAGAACUCACUGAUUUGUCAAACCCAUUAUGACUAAUCCCCGCCAUAUCUCAUUAAACAACAGUUUAGAUUAAAUAAAAUACAAGCUAGAAAUGAAAUAGUAUUUCUUUAUACUUCGGUUAAAAUAUUUUUACAACUUUGCCAUGAAUUUCCAAAUUUAGAUGGAUUGAUUUUUUCUAUUUAAAUUUUUUUAUAUCAUUGUAUUGACCCCAUUGACAAAAUGUUCUGGCUCUGUAUUUGCUUAAAAUCAAUAUAGAUAUACUGUUGAUAGGGUCAUAAGAUUUUAUCACAAUUAAAAGGUACAAGCUUACGCAAUCAUGACUGAGUAUUAAAAUUGUGAUGGAAUCAUGUUUUUAAAUGGAGAAACGAUAAAUGUAAAUUACAUAUUGUAUGUUGAUUUUAGCAAGAAAUUUUGUGCUUCAAGUAAUAUAAAAUAAAAUUUGCACUCUACUUGAACUAGGUACAUGGCCAAGUAAAAAACUUGAGCCAGAGAGAGAAGUUCAGUAUCUCCAUAGCUUCAUUUUCUUGAUCGAAAGUUUUGUGAACUAUGAUUCAGCUACAAUAAAUCACAUGUGACCCCAAACAUUUCUUGACAUUCAAAACUCGAUUAAAUCUAUUAGAGUUAGGUCUCUUCUCGUAUCACAAUUAAUACCGACAUCCUUUCAUCCUUGCUAGAAAAAGAGUUCAACCAAAAAAGGAAGUGUGGAAAUGUGGAAAUUGAAAGCUUAUGGCGUUGUUGAAUUUAUUGAGUUCCUUGCUAGAGAAGGAAAGAACAUUCCACGUGGAAUGAAUCGAUUCUAUCCUCAAAUUCAACCUUUUCAACGAAGUGGAAGAUAAACGAACAUCAAUUCUCGUGUUCUUGACAUUAAAUUUUAGUUUGAUAUAUGGGGAAAACAGUCAAAUUAAUCCAUCUUCUUUGCCCAAGAACUAGACAUAUUGCCAACAGAUGCUCUUUCAUAAACGUGAGCUGCAAUUGGGCCUACAAAAGUUAACAGUUCUUGCAAACCAGGCUGCUUUAUAAUCACCAAGGAUCAGCAAGGAAUGAACUUCUUUUGCAGCGCCUUCUCCGUCUUGUCUUUUUACGAUCGUUCUUCCUUAAGACGACUAGCGACACUUUUCAUUGUCACAAAUUAUAUCAACCGAUCCGGAUCUAGAGUUACCAUCUAAUGAUAUAACAGAGGACCCGUUACCAUAACGCUGAACUGCACAAGAACUAACCACUAGGACCUUAGGACUGAUCAAAGACUAUUCGAUUGCAUCGAUUAAACAUGUCCUAUUAAGUCCGGUGUACAUGCAACAUCUUGAAGCUGCAUCUUCUAAAGGAGAGACGGAUGUGCAUGUACGACAACUGCCGAUCAAAGACUAUUCGAUCCCACUGCUCUAUUUAGCGCGCGGCUUGUCGACAAUAAACAUUUUAUUAAUAUGGCAAACUGUCGAAGUCAUAACGCACAUCACAUUACUCACAUACAAACCCCUCGUAGAUCAAGCUCGGAAACAUUCACUCAGAAAAAAAAAGAGGAGAACGGCUUCAAACGAGUCAUAGAUAACGAGACUACUAUAAAGCAACUUUCAGGCUCUACGACAGACAUCACCAUCACAGACCCAUCCUUCUUUGGCAUCUCCUUCUUUCUUUGCCUCCUCCUCAGCUGCUUCAUUGUCUUCAUCUAACUCGUUUUCAGUUGCUUUCUCUUCUUUAACAGCACAUUUUGGGUGGAGAUCAAAGUCACACUCCUCGCAAUAAUAUGACCACCCCUCCCCCUCUUCAUCGCAGCCAUCACAAGUGUACCGUCUCCUCUGAGCCGGAACGAGCUCGUGCUCUUCAUGCAAAGGUUGCUUCAACUUCUCUGGCCAGCCUUUUAUACUUUCCUUGAACUUUUCCUCAAACUUCUUGAGAUGUUCGGCAGUAAAAGGAUAAGCAUCAGCCCCGUGGUCCAUUAUAAGAUCCCUUGCUUUGUUAGUCACCGUCCGGCCCGUUGGACCUAUGGCUACAAGCAUGGGGAUGCCCCGGACCUUGAAUUUGCGACUCAGGGAUUUCUUCCUCUCGUCACCAAAAGGGAGCGCCAGCCACGGCAUCUGAGCAAAAUAAUUAUCAAAGGCAGUUUGGUCCUUGUCACUGGAGAUGAAGAUAACCUCCAAGGCAUUGCCGGCGGCCUUGAUCUUUUCGUAUGCCUCAGUAAGCACCGGCAGGAAUGCACGGCAAGGAGGGCACCAGUGUGCCGAGAAGUACAGGAGGACAGUCUUCCCUACCAAGUCUGGUACUGGAAUCUGCAAUCGAAGUUAAGGAACAACCUUUUAGAUGAACCACCAAUUGAUGGAGAAGGCACGUGAAAACUACAUCUAUGUAAAGGAUUUUCCUAGCUAUAAACCUGGUUUCAAUCCUUUCCUCGAGUCAAGUAACCCGAGGGACAACUGUAUAUGGGGCCCCAGUGUAGACAUCAAAAAUUUCCCCAGUCAUUAGCUUCUAGGGAAAAAACAAAUUUACCUUGGUUCCAUCCUUUCCAAUGACAAAAUCCAGAUCCCCUGAAACCAAGAUCGACUCCAAGGUCUGAGAUUCUUCCCUUUUCUUCUCUAUCUCUGCAAGCUCUGCAAACUUUUCUGGAGUGAAGGGAUAAGCUGUGAUGCCAUGCUCUUCGACAGUUUCGGCAACGUUGGCAUGGACAGUCUUCCCAUCCUGACCGAUAAUGACCAGAGUGGGUAGGGUCGACAGCUUAAAGUACCUCACCAACUUCUCGCAUUUCUUGUCUUUGAAUGGUAAUGAAAGCCAUGGCAUGCUGCCAAAGGAUUGGUUGAAUGAUGCUUCAUCAUCAUCGAGAGGUAUCUGAACGAUCUCAAAACUCUCUCCUCUGGCCUUCAAUUUCUCAUAAACCUCCAGUAACUUAGGCGUGAAAUCGACGCAUGCCCUGUGCACGGACAACGAGAAGUACAGACCCACUGUUUUCNNNNNNNNNNNNNNNNNNNNNNNNNNNNNNNNNNNNNNNNNNNNNNNNNNNNNNNNNNNNNNNNNNNNNNNNNNNNNNNNNNNNNNNNNNNNNNNNNNNNAAUCAUAGCACAUGCGACCAUGAGUUUCAAAUGCAUCGAGAUCUUUUUAGGUUUACCUGAUUCCGAUUGACGAAACUACGAAGUUACGAGAUCCAUGGACCAAAAGAGAGGUCACUGAUUGAUUUAUCCUAGUAGCUUCUUCCUGGUCUUUCAACUCUUUGAUACGUUCUGGAGUGAAAGGGUGACCUUCCACUCCAUACUCACGGACAAUCGCAACUCCGCUAUCUGUUAAGACCGUACCUGUGCCAUCGAGAAUGACAAGGUGGGGUAUCCCCCUCACCUUAAACAAUUCAUCCAAGCUAUUGCGCUUGUCCAAGUCGGAAAACGGGAUUGCAAGCCACGGCAUCUUGGAAAAGUAUCCACUGAAGGACCCUUCAUCCUUAUCUGCAGAGAUAAAAAUGAUCUCCAGAUCACCUUUUGGGGAAAGUUCAUCGUACACCUCCGCCAGAAUCGGGGUGAACCGGUGGCACGGACCGCACCACGAUGCGGAGAAGUACAAGCCAAUCUUCUUCCCCUUCAAGCUAUCGACCUUAACCUGAUAUAGAACAAAAAGAUUCCUAAUUUUAGUUCUUUCAUACGGUAAUCAGCGAGCAAGGCACACUAGAUCACUUGACCACCACACAAAAAUCCUGAAAAUGCUCAAGAUACACAUCCAAAUGCCAACUGCAGAAGCACUUCCCUUAUGCACUGCUCAUUAAAUAGUUAGCAAAUCAGCAGUCUUCGCCACCAAAACAAGUAUACCACACCGAAGGUGUGAGCAUUUACACUAAAGAGCAUUACUUCAUAGCAAUAUCGGAUCCAUAUACACUGCUCCCACCCGAUCCAACUCCAAGUAACAUGUCUUUCUCUAAAAAGUAAUGCAUCAACUACCGAUCAUCCAGUUUCUGAAGGAAACAAAUGGACAGCACUCGAAAAUGAUGAUCCUAGAUCAGACCAACUUUAGCUUCUCUUGAACUAAAUUUAAAAACCGAUCAGCGAAACAACCCCACACGAAGACGAAGGCCACGAGAACUUCGACAAGGACGCCCACCCAUAAUUCUUUUUCUUUCACCUCAUCCAGCGAAAGAGCAAGAGUGAAAGAAGAGAACUGAGUUUCACCUGAUCGCCGUUGUUCCGGAUGAGGAAGUCCCUGUCCGGAGAAGACAGGAGGGACUGAACAUCGUGAGAAGAAGCCCCGCCUUCGACAACGUCCGCCAUCCUGGUCGCGUUCGUUCCUUGUGUCCUGUUCUCGUGUCUCUGCAGAGAGUCUGCCUGAGAACCNNNNNNNNNNNNNNNNNNNNNNNNNNNNNNNNNNNNNNNNNNNNNNNNNNNNNNNNNNNNNNNNNNNNNNNNNNNNNNNNNNNNNNNNNNNNNNNNNNNNGCAAAGAACCAAACGGAAAGAACAUCGGCAUCUAAACUUAAAAGGCGCACGAACUCAUCUUCCAAUCCGGCAAGAUAAGCCCCAACCAAGAAUCAGAUCAGCAAAUGCUCUCGACCCCCACCCUCCCCCAGUUUGAAAUUCAAGAACCGAUCACCACAAGGCCAAGAAUUUCUCGCACGAAACUGGGUAGUCAGCGAAACAACGAGAACUUCCACAAGGACGCCAACCAACCCACAAAAUUCUUUUCUUUCUCCCCUCUUCCAAAGGGAAAGAGCGGGGAGUGAAAGAAGAGAACCGGGAUGGACAGGGUGAUCGCCGUUGUUCGAGAAAAAAAGGGGUCCCUGUCCGGAGAAGACAAGAGGGACUGCACAUCGUGAGAAGAAGCCCCGCCUUCGACAACUUCCGCCAUUCUCGUCGCCUUCGCUGCAGCGUUCUGGUGUCCUUGCAGAGCGUGCUUGAGAAAUCCUCCUAUGGCGGGCUUCUGCACCUUGCUCCUGUUUAUAUAGACAGAAAAAACUCAGGCAGGCAGGUCUUUUUUUUUAUAAUUAAAUUAUCACCGAAAUUAACUCUUUAAUUUUUCCUUCUUUUUUUUUUUUUUUGGGGGUUCUGGAUUGUUCCUUGGACUUUCGUGGGGCGCAAGGAUGGCAUCUCGGGAGAUGGGCUCCAACGUUGGUACGCGUCCACGUCAGCAUAUUAAUUGUCUUCUUUUUCCUUACUUCGAUUUUUUUUAUCUUAUUUAGCCCUUUUGCCAUUUUAUGCUUCCUCCUCCCCCAAGAAAUCUCCGCUGUAGAAGUCCGCAAAGAAUCAUUUAUUUUUACCCUCUCGAUAUUAUAAAAUGUUAAAUCUUAAUUUUUUUGUAUUUCAUUCAAUACUUUAGAUUUUGUCUUUUCAUUGGCACGUGGGGGCGGUGGGUGAAUAUAUCUCUAAGGGUGCGCAUGGUUUCAUUUCUGUUCCUUUUCUGUUCCCAGGAACAGAAACAAAAAAAAGUGUUUCUGUUCCGGGGAACAGUUUCUGAACAAAAAAACGCGUUUGGUAAGUGUAAAAAAAAACUGUUCUUGGAAUAAAAAAAGAACAGAAAUAUGUUUGGUAACUGCAGUCAAUUUCUGUUCUUAGAAUAGAAAAAGAACAGAAACACGUUUGGUAAACGACAAAACAAUUUCUGUUUUUUUUUUUGAUAAAGUUUAAAAUUGAUAUUAAAUUGUCAUUCUUAUGAAAUGCUCAUUAAUUUUAUUUUGUUCAUGGUUAGUGAAGACAAACAUUUUUAGCAUGAUCAUAUGGCAUAUUUCGUAUAAAAUUUUGUAAUUAAAGUUUGUAUCUAGUAAAUUCAAGUACAACCACGCUGCACCCCGACUUUAGCUAACCCCCUUGGUGGUGAAAUCGUCCUUCAACGCCCUCGCCACGUGCUUCACCAGCCUGUCCAUUCCACAUCACCAUGAGCAACAAAAUAACAAUAGAAGGAAACCACAUCACCAGCCUAUUCAUUCAAAAUCACCAGCCCCUGUCCACCUCGCUAGAGCUGCAGCAGCAGCUGCUGCACGAGCAGCUCGAGCGAGCUGCUGCAGCAGCUGCUGCUCGAGCAGCAGCAGCAGCUCGCUCGAGCAGCUCUAGCUGCUGCUCGAGCAGCUGAGCUGCAGCUCGAGCUGCUGCAGCUGCUGGAGUUGAGCUGCAGCUCGCUCGAGCUACUGCUCCAGCAGCUGCAACUCGAGCUCGCAGCAGCUCGAGCUGCUGCAGCAGCUACUGCUCGAGCAGCUCGAGCUGCUGCAGCUGCUGGAGUCGAGCUGCAGCUCGCUCGAGCUACUGCUCCAGCAGCUGCAACUCGAGCUCGCAGCAGCUCGAGCUCGAGCUCGCAGCUGCUCGAGCUCGAGCUCGCAGCAGCUCGAGGCAGCAACUCAAGCGAGCGAAGGGGGAGGCAAUGACGAGCUGCAGCUCGAGCGAGCGUUGCUCCCCUUCGGCGCGGCAGAUCUGGGCGAGCAACGCUCGCUCAAGCCUUGAGCGAGCAAUGCUCGCCCAGAUCUGCGGCAGAUCUGGCCGAGCAACGCUCGCUCGAGGGACGGCUCGCCGCGCCGAAGGGGGAGCAGUGCCGACCGGAGAAGGAGCGCCGAAGGGGGAGCGACGCUGACCGGAGGAGGAGGGCCGAACGGAGAGCAACGCUGACCGGAAACGUACCUGGAGUCGCCGGAGAGUUAGCCGAGUGGGAGCCGCCGGAGAGAUGGAAGACACGCCGGAAACGGAAGAACGAAGCUUCAGCCGAGAGGAGCGACGACGAGCACGCACGAAGAGUUCUUCGCUUUGUUCCGAAUUUGUUCUUUUGUUUCUUUCGUUUUUGUUCUUUUGUUCUGUCGAAGAAGUGUUUCUUUUCAAAAGAAACAACUUUUUUUUGUUUCUUUUUUCUGUUCCUAUUUCGUUCCAGAAACAAAAAAACAAAAAAGGAACAAAAACGCAACCAAACGCGUUUCUGUUCCUUUUUUGUUCCCGGGCACACUUUCCGUACAAAAGUGUGCCGGAAACGUUUCUUAGAAACGUUUCCAUGCACGCCCUAAAUGGUCGGUUCAUCCUUCCUGCAACGGUUGAAUUAUAUGAUUAUUAAAACCAAAAAGUGCGCCUUCUUAGCCCUCGUCCAAAUAAAUGGUAAUCAGAAAUUGAAAAAUUUAUAUAAUUGGGAGGAUGAGGCUGAUUUGCAGGGAUGGAAAGAGGGGAAGUUGAAAAGUAUCAUGCGAAGUAUUAUUCUUAGUGGCUAAGAUUGUGCCAUCCGUUAGUCAAUUACCUAGACACGUUGGCAAAGCUAUGUCUUUAUCUUCUCAUUUUGUUCAUUAUUGACCCGUUGACCAUUCCUUGCUUCCUUCCCAAGUAGUCUAUCCCCAAAAAUUAAACUUUGACAAAAUUUUAUUUUUUUAACCCUCUCAAUUUUCAUAUAAGUUUGGUUUAAAAUUUUUUAAGAGCUAAAUUGCAUUUUUGCCUUUUCUCCGCCCAUGGGACGACAUUAAAUGAGAAAUUAAAGGUGUGAUUGCUCAGGUCAUUUUUUUUUAUUAUAAGUUUGUUUUAAAAUUUUUGAGAAUCUCAAUUUUACCCCUUAGUUUUUGGUUGGUCCCACCCCCCCCCCACCCCCCCAAAAAAAAAGGUUGACGCGCCUUCUUAUCCCUAGUCCAAAAAUAAUGAGACAGGGUAUGAAAAGUGGGUAAAAAUGUCGCGAUUAAUUUGUUCGAGAGAAAAAUUAGAGAUAAGAGAAAGAUGAUUACAGAUUCGUUGAUUUGAUAUGGAUAGUUAAAGAAAAGAAUUAUUCCAAAUGAUUAAAAAAAUGGAAAUUUUAUUGAAUCAAAAGUUUGCAAUAAUUAGGAGGAUAAGACUGAUUUGCUUAGGACACGAAUGAUAACCAUUCUAAUAUGAAAUUGAUUUUUGUAACAGAAAUAAAUUUUUAUAUUUUUAUUUUUGGACGAGUUUCUGAGUGACAUCGACCAACCCAAUUUUUUUUUUUUUGAGACCAACCCAGAGUUGACCACCCCUCUUGUGGCACCUUGGAGCUCCGUUAAGCUAUUUACCAUUUUCUUCUUCUGCUUCUUUAUUUUUUUUUUAAUUUUCGAAACUUUACUAAUUUGCAAUUAUUUGGCAUAUAAUAUCAAUAAAGACUACGAUUAACAAUAAUAGUGAGCAACCAAACGGGUCCUUCCAAAGUGAAAAUUACAAAUUUUCAAUUCUUAUUAAGAUUUCAUGUUUAAUUUACCCUCUUAAAUUUCCAUAACCGGAAGUAUCAAUUGCCUUGUAGCUUUAUGAAGGGAAAAUUAUCAAAUCAAUCAUGAGCAUAUUAUACAAAUAUCAAUUCAAUCAUUAAUUUUUUUAAUUUUCUCAAUUUUAUUUUAAACCUUUCCAAGAAAAUCGGCCACAAUAACUGAAUUGGCAACAUUGAAAUUUAGGAUCAAAUUGACAUUCGCAUAACGGGUUUAGGACUGGUUGGACAAGUAGAAGCGGAAUGUUAUUUAUUUAUUUUUUAAUAUUUAUUUUGGUGGUGUGUCGUUCAAAAGCUAAAGGCCAAAUAGGGCGUCGGGUUAGUCGAAAGGAGCCAAAAAAUAAAAAUAAGAAACAUAAAAGAAAUGAUAGUGACGGACCCCAGACUUUUGGGACCCACGCCGACGAAAGAGGGAACGGGGAGACUUCCAACCGGAAAGAGCAUUAAAUAAUAUAGGUAAGGCAGGUUCCAUCCUUCACCCGUGAUGAAAGAGAUGCCCAGUGGAUGACCAAAACCUUGAUGAAAGAAAUACCUCUGAAACCACAUUCUUAUCACCCGUGUCUAAAAUUCCUAAUUAAAUAGACAUAAAGAUAAGUAAAUGGUAAUUAUCUCGUGUCCCAACAUAAUAUGCCAUGCGAUAAUCGCAAUUUUCUCCACCAUUAUAGUAGCACGAUCUUGAAAAAAAAAUCAUAAUGGUUCGAUCUCAGUGUAUCCCAUCAUCCAUCAUACCCUUGAGAAGAGAACUGGAUCUUUAUAAGCUUCUUAAACAUCUCUUUUUUUUCUUUUUCUUUUUUUGGAUCGAAUGACUUUCCCUUAAGUCUCAAACUCUUCCUCUUUUAUAAAGGAAAAUAAUUUCAACUAAAAGUCCAUUUGUUUUGUAAAAAAUAUUUUCCAUGAAAACGUAUUUCUUAUUUUCUGGCAUUUGGUUCAUUUAGAAAAAUAAAUCAAUAGAAAAUAUUUUCCUAAUCAAUGGAAAAUAUUUUCCCAUCAAAACUUAAACUCAGGGAAAAAAUUUUCCUAUCAAAACUUAAAAUUAGGAAAAUGAUUUCCCUUUUGAAAGAAUCAGAAAAAAAUUUCCAAAAUGUUUUACUACUCUAAUGAAACAUUUAUUCUUAUUAAAAUAAUCUAAAAAAAUGUUGAAUUUUUAAUUUUUUUUAAUUAUGUUAUUAUUAUUUUUCUUUUUCUUUUCUUCUUUACUCUUUUCUUUCUUUGCCUUUCUCCUUCUUCCUCCAUUGGUCGCGUACCUUAGUGACAACUAGCAGCCAUCGACCAUGACGCGGGUCAACAAGCUUGAAUUGGUGGAGGCUGGCAGGCUCCUGGCGAGCUCCUGGCUUGCUUGAUCCCAGCAAGCUUAAGCUCACCUGUGGCCGUUGCUGAGACUCGACGAUUGGUAGAGGGAGAUGGUAAUAGAAAAAGAAAGAAAAUAAAAUAAAAUUUUUAAAAAUAUGAUUUUUUUUAAUUGAAAUUAUUUUUCGAAUGAGAUUCAAACACUAAAAAAUAUGUUCAAUCACAUAUCACUAAAUAAAUAAAAACUAACUAUUUUUCUAAAAGAUGAUUUUCUGAAAAUGAUUUUCGUUUAUCAUGAAGUUUUUCCUCAAACAAACGCAUCCUUACGAUGUUACGACAUAGACACAAAAUGAUAGAUAAACUAAUAAAUGAAAACAAUAUAAAUAAUCCAUGAAUUUUGGUUCAAUAUGCAAUGUAGUCCCUUAACUUUAAUUUAUUCAAUAUGAUCCAUGAAUUUUAGCUCAAUAUGGAAAAUUGCCAUUGAACUUUUAAUUUUUUUCAAUGUACUCCUUGAAUUUUUAAUAUAUGUUUAAUUUAGUCGUUGGACUCUAUGAAACUAUUUAUUAUUGUCCAUGAUCUUGAAUUAAUGGAAAAACUACAUUGAAUAUUUUCAUAAAGUUCAAAGACUACAUGUACAUUAAACAAAUUAAAAGUUCAGAGACCACAUUAACAUUAAACUAAAGUUUAGGGAGUUUAUAAAUCAUUUAUGUCAUUAUUCCAACUAAGAAUUCAAAAGAAUCUACAUAAAUACCAUAUUAUCCCAGUUACUGUUGUACACCCUAUUAUGUUUUGGGCUCUUUCCAAAAUUAUUCAAAUCACGAUUUUCGUUCUUUAUUAUAUUUUUUGUUAUUUUUUGUCCAUAUUAGCGGGUGGCCUUUUUCUUUAAUAGACAAAGGCUCAUGGCCAUUUAUCUAGUUUGAGUUUUUUUUUUAGUCAAAAGGAAAUUUACAUUCAUUAUGAAACUAAUGCAUAAAAGGAAAUCUCAAAAGUCGCAGUAACAAAAUAAACGAAUAACUAGAAAUCAAGGUGUUUUAUUAGAGUAUGAUUGGCAGAGAUUAUCACAAGCUCGUUUGUCAAGAACAGAUCUAUAAUGACAGAGAUCAUUACAAGGUUGUCCUUCAAGAGUAGAUCUGUAACCGGAUCCAAGCGAAAGGAUUGACGGCCAAUCACCGACUUACACAGUAUUAUCAGUGAUAAGCACACGCCACCAUUUGUAAUUAUGAAUUUGCCUUUUGAGUGAUUAUGUGCGCCUAAGUUCGGCGUCCAAACCACCAUCACCUUAUGUAGACAACAUAAGUAUAUUAAAAAUCUUAGAUCCGACACUUGUGAGAGUGAGUCUUGCAGAUCUAGUUUAAGCUCGAAAGGUUUUACUAUAAUCAAUAUUGAAAACGUAUUGAUUUGCAUUUAUUAUUUCUCCUUUUAAAAACAUGACCCCAUCACCAUUUUAAUACUUAGUCAUUAUUGUACAAGCUUUUACCUUACCUUUUUACUUUGCUAAAAUUACGUAAUCCUAUUAACACUAUAUUUAUAUUGAUUUCAAAAGUAGGAACAAAAACAUAAGUGAGCUCAAUAAAAACGAUACAGAAGAGUCUAAACAAAAAUUAAUUAACCUAUGUACGUAUAGAAAGUCAUUGUAAAGUUGAACAAAAAAAAUUAAAAGUACAGGUACAUAUCAUUAUUUAUGUACUCGAUGCAAAAAUUUAACGAAUAAGAGUCAGAUAAGAGGAAAAAUGUCCAUAUAAAAGUCCGAUUAAAAGCAAAUAUAAAUUUUACCAAAAAAAAAAAUGAAAAAACACGUGUUGCGUGAUGCCCGAAGACUUGACGUCGACUCUCUCUUCUAAGUCUUCCCCUUCCAAAAUUAGUAGAGCCACAGAGGCACCUGUCGUGCGUUCCAAAACGAUGUGGCUUCUGUGUUUCUUGAAAUGUAUAUUUCAUAAAAUUGCAGCACCUCGACACCGGGUGCGGUAGCUUCUUGGAAAAGUUAUUAUAAAACUGCCGAAAUUUCGAAGCAAUUGUAGCCACGAGGCAUUUACUGAAUACUUUACGGAAGAAGCAACUCUUCAAAGCCAUUCCAAAUGAUAGUAAGCAUGUGAAUUUUUGGAUCAUAAUGAAGGGAGUUUCCAAAGAUUUUUAGGAAGAAUUCCCUAAUCAUUAAUGGCUGCAUAAAAAAAGAGACUGAAUUCCAUUUUUUUUUUAUAAAAAUUAUGAAAGAAAUAAAUAAUUAUGAUAAAAUUACGAUUAGGAGAUUUUUGUCCUCCACCACCGUACAAGUGGCCCCAUAAUGAAUGAACUGAUGUUUGGGAUUAGGACCAAUAUGUCUUUUGCAGAAAAUAAUGUUUAUUUUCAGGAUUUGUACAUUAAUUGGUGAAAAUCUCAAGCCAAGGCAGAUUAAAAGAUUAACCGGUCACUGCUCAAUUGGAAAAAUAGGCAACACAACUGGCUAGUUGUGUAGAGCUACAUUAGGAAAGGAUAAUAAUGACCUUUGGACGUAUUUGUUUAAGCGAAAGAAUUCUUUAUGAAUUAAUUUUCCGAACUUUCAUAUAUUUGAUUUGUUAAAAAUGAUUAGUCGAUAGAAAAUCAAUUGUAGUAAACAAAAUAUAUGUAUAAUAAAUUCCCUAAUUUGAAAAAGGGAAAAUAUUAGCUUAAAAAAUAAAAAUAAAAAAUUCGAUAGCAUUUUCUUUUCUGAUCAAAAAAGCAUUUUCUUUUAUCAUUUGCAGUUGGAAACCUUAGUCGUGACUCUAAUACUAUCAAUUUUUGAUCUCCUCCUCCCCUGUUGAAAGUUUAAUUUGAUCUCAAAUUUCAUGUUACUUUUUUUCUCGAAUGGGUAUAGAUAAAGGAGCUUGACCAAAUAGUGUGAACACCAAAUGGAUGAGAUCAAAGAUCAAUUUGAAGCAUUUACAUUGAAUAUCCCCUUGUUUUUGUAUGUGCUUGGUCUAAGCGACAAAAUAUUACGUGUUCAAGUGAUAGACGCAUCAGUUUUACACAAGUCUAUUUCAUGAUUGACACGAAUUACUUUUGGACCCACCUAUCAGAAAUCUUUGCAUUCUCUCCCUCUCUUCUACAUCUUUCCCUCCCAAAAUUAGUAGAGCCAGAUGGGUGUAGAGACAGUUGUGGUGUGUUCCAAAACAACGUGGCUUUUGUGUUUUUGGAAAUGUUUAUUUCAUAAAUUGCAGCACCUCAACACCGGGUGUGGUAGCUUCCUAGAAAAGUUAUUAUAAAACUACUGAAAUUUCGAAGCAAUUGUCGCUGUGAGGCGUUCACCGAAUAUUUAUAGAAGCCGCAAUGCUUCAAGGCCAUUCUAAAUGAUAAUGAAGAGGGUUUCCAAAGAUUUUUGGGAAGAAUUCUCUAAUCAUUAAUUGCUGGAUAAAAGAAGAGAGUGAAUUUUACUAUCUACCGUAAGUCCUAAGUUUUCAAUUGUGUUACGAUAUUUCUUUAAUAAAAAUUACUAAAGAAAUAAAUAAUUAUGAUAAAUUGCGAUAAGGAGAUUCGGUCCUUCAACACCAUAUAAGUGGCUCCAUAAUGAAUGAAUUGAUAUUUGGGAUUAGGACCAAUAUGUCUUUUGCAGAAAAUAAUGUUUAUUUUCAGGAGUUGUAUAUUAAUUGGUGAAAUUCUCAAGCUGAAGCAGAUUAAAAGAUUAACAAGUCAACGCUUAAUCGGAAAAAUAGGCAACACAACUAGCUACAUUAGGAAAGGAUAAUAACGACCCUUUGGAUAUAUUUGUUUGAGCGAAAGAAUUCUUCGCGAAUUAGUUUUCUGAACUUUCAUGUGUUUGAUUUGUUAAAAAUGAUUAGUUGAUGGAAAAUCAAUUAUAAUAAAAAUAUAUAAAUAUAAUGAAUUUUCUAAUCUGAAAAGGGAAAAAUAUUAGCCUAAAAAAUAAAGAUUUUUCAAAAGCAUUUUCUUUUUUGACAAAAAAGAAAUUUCUUUUAUCAUUUAUGGUCGAAAGCCUUAGUCGUCGAUAUGAUACUAUCAAUUUCUGAUCUCCUCCUCCCUUGUUCAAAGUAUAGUUGAUCUCAAGUUUCAUGUCACCUUUUUUCUUUUUGAGUGGGUGUAGAUAUAGAAGCUUGACCAAAGAGCGAAUGCCAGAUGGAUGAGAUCAAAGACCAAUUUCCAAGAGAAAGAAGCAUCUACAUGGAAUAUUCCCUUGUUUUUAUAGAAAUCCAUUCCACCAUUGACACGUAUCACUCUUGGACCUACCUGUCAGAAAUCCUGACAUUCUCUCUCUCUCUCUCUUCAAUUAUGUGACACUCUCUCCUCUCUCUUUUGCGUUUUCUGAUACAAAGGACAAAGCCUACUCUAUUUUUGUCAAAAUGCUCUAUAUCCCUUCCAAGAACUCGCCGCUUCAAUCUUCGCUCACUUCUUCUCCGACCUCCAGCCCUACCACCUCUUGUCCAACUCCUCGUGCGCCCUCUAUGGUCACGUUAGCUAGGAGCUCGAGGCCCUCUACCGCGUUGACGGACCAUGCUGUUGCCUCCACCUCCGCCUCAUUCCUUACCUGGUCAAAGUUGAGCUCUAGAUCACAAAUCUAGGGCUUACUUGAGCUUAGACCCAAAAUUUGAGGCUCAAGUUCAUUGAUUCAGCUUGAACUUGAUAAUGGAGGACUAAGAUGAUGGUGAAAUGGUGGUAGAAGGCAAUUUACGGGAUUAAGUUGAUAAUGAGUUUGACUUGAGGUGUUGUCGUCUCUCGCAAAGUGAAAGGAGGAAGAAAAAGAAAAAAAAAGGAAAAAAAGUAAAAACAUUAAUUAAAGAGAGAGGAUAUAAGGGUUUUUCAUAGGUGGGCCCAAAAGUGACAUGUGUUGGACAUUAAAUGGAUAUGUGUAAAACUAAUGUAUCUAUCAUUUGGACACCUAACAUUUUCUUGGAUCUAAACAAAAAUAAUCACGUUACACGUCACCAUGGCCACGUUAGUGCAUAGUCAUUUUCCAACCACUCUUUCACAUUCUUUCCUCUUAAGCUCCUUUGGGACAACAAUUAUGUUAUCGAGAACAAUUUCGGUUCAUAAAUAGUUUUAUUUAUUUAUUUAUAUUUUUGGAAAUAAAAAAUAGUUUUUAUUUAUCUAUUAUCUCUAUUCCAAAUCUAUUUCCUGAUCACUUAUCUAUUCUGGAAAGUAGAAUAAUUAAUUGACGUACACAAAUGGAUUUAUGUUCUUGAAAAACAAAAAGAUAGAAAAACAGAAAAAUACACUAGUUACCAAACAAGUCAUAAGUUUUGCAUAAUACUUUUUCAAACUCCUCCUUUUCACCUCCUUGGAAAUCAGUCUCGUCCUCCUAAUUAUCGCAAAUCUUCUUCUUCUUCUUCUUUAAUCUUUUUCUUAUUUAAGAUUCUCAUUGAAUUAAUAUAUAUAUAUAUAUAUAUAUAUAUAUAUAUUUUUUUUUUUUUUGGUCAUUCCUAGUCUAUGUCUACUCUACACUCACUUGUAGACUUGUGCCCUGCCUCUUGCAGGGCGUGGGAGUCGCAACACACUCUCGAAACUUACGCGUCCUUACCCCCCAUCCCCCAUGAGAAGGUGGGGAUUUGAACCCCUCACCUCCCCCUUCCAAGUUGGAAGGGUGGCCACUGGGGCGAACCCCCAGUGGUUAUUAAAAUAUAUUGAACUUGACGAUUUUGCAACUGUUUAUUUGGAUUAGGGUUAGGGCCCCGUUAAUUUGUUUUGAGGGUGAGGCGACGGUGAAUCGAGCCCCCACAGACCUGUUCACUUAAAGCUCCCUUGCUGAUAAAAAGGCAAAAUCGCAAGCUUAUGAAUAAGAUAUGCUUUUAAAAAACUAAGAUUUAACAUAUUGUAAUAUCGAAAUGAAAUUCUUUGCAAAUUUCAAAAGGAAUGGUAAAAGAGGUAUAUAAAGAAUAAAUUGCGCCGUUUGUAAGAUGACGUGGCGUUUAUGUUUUUGAAAUCUAUAUUUUAUAAAUUGCAACACCUUAAAGUCAGUAGCUUCCUCAAAAGUUAUUAGAAGCGGCUGGAGUUUUGAAGUAGCCGUAAUUGUGAGGCGUUUACCAAAUACUUCAUAAAAGUCGUAACGCUCCUUUUUACAAUUGAAAUUGCUUCAGAAAAUCUGUUCCAAAUAGUAAUAGGCAUGUGAAUCUUAGAUUACAAUGAAGGGGGUUUUUAAAAAUUCUAGGGAAGAGGAUCCCUAAGCCUUAAUGACCAUUAGAUAAUAAUUAAAAGAGAAGAAGAAGCGAGUAUCACCGUUGAUCACGAACACAUUUAAACGUUUGCAUGUUAUAAUAUUUUAUAUAAAAAUUACAAAUAAAAGUAAACAAUUACGAUUAUUUGGGAUUGGGAGAUUCGUUCUUCGAGAUCAUACGAGUGCCCCAUAAUGAAUUGACGUUUAGGAUUAGUACUUCUUGGUUGAUUUAGGACCAAUAAUUUUCUUUCUAGAAAAAAGAAAUUUUCUUAUUCAGGAUUUGCACAUUAAUUUGUGAAAAUAUCAAGCUAACACAUAUUGAAAUAUGGGAAAAUUCCAAAUAAAGGCAUAAAGUGUUAUCAUUUUCUCAAAUAAGGACUCUAAAGUGAACCUUAUAUCGAAUAAGAAUCUAAAAUAGACAUGGUUGUUUCAAAUGAAGGCCUAACCUCGCCGAUUGCCAACUUGGCUAAAUAUUUUGAUUGAGUAAAGGCAUUUUCAUCCAAUUAUAAUUAUAAUUAUAAUUUUUUUUAUCAUUUCCUUUUCUUUAAUUCAUUUUUUUUCUGAUAAGGGCUCAGCGACCCUUUCUGGCUACGAGCGAGGCCACCCUUGCCUAGGGCCGACGAGGGCUUAAUGACCCUCGUCUGCCAUUGGCCUCCCCUAAGGUAAGGCCGCCCCUCGCUUGCUGUUGGUGAGGCGACCCCCACCUAUGUCCAAAGACAAAUCAUAAUCAUCUUAUCCUAGCAUAACGUGUAACCCGAUGCCGUACUUUAGGUGUAUUUGUUUUUGGACAAAUUUCAUGAUAAAUGAAAAUGUAAUUUAGGAAAUCAUUUUUCAGGAAUUUUUUUCCCCUUUUCAAAUUAGAGAAUUUAUUUUCCUAACUUUGAGCACACAUUUUUUUCACUGUAAAUUGUUUUCUAUCAAUUAGUUCGUAAAAAAAUUUAAAUAAAUACUCAUUAAUGUCCUUUCCUGAUGUAGCUCUGCACAAUUAGCUAGCUGCAUUGCCUAUUUUUCCAAUUCAGUGGUGACCCAUUAAUAUUUGGGUUAAUAACCUGAAAAUUUGCAAACCAGUACACAUGUGACAAAUUUACUCUAAACUAUUUUUUUUACAAUCAAAAACUCCAAAUUAGUAUACCUUUGGCAAAUUUACCAUAUGUUAGUUUUCGUUAAAUUUUACUAUCAAAUUAUUAAGUUAACAUGUGACAAUUGACUAGUAUACCAAUCUUGAAUUUUACACUCUGUUUGUCACAGUUUACAAUUUUUGUGAUGUUUUUGUGGUAUUAUUCCAAUUUAGCAGAUGAUAUAUUUGUUACAAAUUUAUUAAUUUGGGGUUUUUUGCGGUCAAAUAAAUUAGUUUUGGGUAAAUUUGUCAUAAACGUACCGGCUUAUGAUUUUUUUAUGGUUAGUCGGGGUAAAUUUGUCACAAGUAUACUGGUUUGAGGUUUUUCAUAGUAAAAAGAAAAACAGUUUUUGGUAAAUUUGUCAUAAGUGUAUCGGUUUGGGGUUUUUUAGGGUAUUAAAUCUUUUUAAUGUGCAUUAGCUUGAGAUUUUCACCAAUUAAUAUGCAACUCCUUGGAAAGAAUUAUUACAUUCUACAAAAGACAUAUUGGCCCUAAUCCCACACGCAGUUCAUUAUGAGGGCACUUGCAUGGUGUCGAAGGACGAAUCUCUGGAUCGCAAUUUAUCGUAAUUAUUCAUUAUUCUUUCAUAAUUUUUACACAAGAUACUGAAACACGCAAAAAAUUUGGAAGGGUUUACGAUCGAUGGUGAAAAUCCCUCCUCUCUAUCCUAUGGCCAUCAUUGGUUGGAUCUGCUUCCCAAGAAUCUUUCGAAGCCCCUUUCAUUAUAAACCAAAUUUCAUACGUCUACCAUCAUUUGGAACAAACUUCCAACAACUACUUUAGUCUUGAAAAAGAAUGUUUUGACUAGGGAUGAACAUUGUUUGAAUGGCCGAUUCCCACCUUAAAAUCAAAAACCGCCCACUAAAAAUCAUUUUUGAAAAACUUGGAAUGGGAUACUACUCAAUGAUUUCAUGGAUCCACCUAGGAACCGAUCUCCAAUCCUUAUAAAAUUGCAUUCAUCAAUUUAUAUCAUAUCAAACCUAAUUUUUAUUUAGAGCACCAAAGUUUGCUUAGCUAUAAAUUAAUGUUGAAUUGCGAGACAUUGAUUUUGAUUAGAGAUUGACAAAUAUAGAGCAGAACCAAUAGACAAUACUCAUUAGUUAAGAACUUAAUUUUUUCAAAUGUCAUGAUGUGGUCCUCUUAAGGUUUUCCGAUAUCAAGAACGUAUGGAGAAUUAGACUCUACGUUAGAAGUCCUAACCUCCAAAGAAAUUAAAACAUUAAUCACUUGAUUCAUUUUUUUUUCAACCUCAACUAAUUUAAUCACGGGCAUAGCUAAGAAAAACCUAAUUAUGCUUUUAAUAUGAGCCAUUGACUCUUAAUUUUGUAUCAAUACAAUAAAGUGCCGCAACAUUUAGGGAUAUCUCUAACCGGUCCUCUCCUUUCUCUUCAUUUGUCUAUUUUGUUUUGGCUAAGAAAGUAAGUAAAUAGAUUAUUAGAAUGAAAAAAAAAGGUAGGGGAUUAAUCCUAUUACACACUCAAAAGACAAAAUUAGUCAAUAAUGUCUAAUAAUAUAUAUUGGUCAAAAAACUACAAAAUAAUUAAGUUAUAUAUAUAGAUUUCAUCUAGGUGGGCGAUUCCAUACCUAGAAUCGGGAAUCGAAUCGGUGCUCACCCGUUCCACUAAAUUAGAACUAAGAAUAAGAUUAGUCCUCAUGGAAAAUGCCAGUUUUGUCCGAUUUAAUGCGAUUCUUGGUUCCUUUGAUCCAUCUUUUUUAACAUCAACUAAUAUUUAAUCAUGGGGAUGGUUAAAGAGAGACCUUAUUUUGCUCUUAAAAUGAGCCAUUGUCCUCUCUUUCCUCUUUGUUUAUUUUGUUUUGGCUAAGAAAGUGAGUAAAUAAAUUAUUAGAAUAGGGUUAAUCCUAUUACACAUUGGAAGGACAAAAUUUGUCAUAAUGUCCAAUAACUACAAACAUAUAUUUUGGUAAAAAAAUUUCAAAAUAAUUAAGUAAUAUAUAUAUUGAGAAUCAGACCGGUACUCACCAGUUCCAUUAAAUUAGAAUCGAGACCUGGACUAGUCCUCAUAGGAGCCACCGAUUUUGUACUGGUUUCAGCCUGGUUCUUUGCAAUUCAGGCGAUUCUCAAUUCCUUGGCAUUGUCACGGCUACUUCAAAAUUUCAGUAGCCUUUGAUGACUUUCUAGGAAGCUACCGCACCCGACAUUGGAGUGCUACAAUUUAUAAAAUAUGCAUUUCAUAAUCACAAAAAGGUACGUCAUCUUAUACAUUUUUACCAAACUGGCUCUACUUAUUUUGAAAGGGAAAGACCAAGAACAGACAGUCAACGUCAAGUCCUUGGGCAUUAUUUAUCGCCGACAAUACCUAAUCUAGGGCAGGUCAUCCUUUUUACUUAUUGUGAAAACUCACUCUUUGCACGGAUAUUGUGAAAAAGACAGAAUAUAACACGCGUUUUUCAUUUUCAUUUUUAUUUACAAUUUAUUUUCGAUUUGCUUUUAAUCUGACUUUUAUAUGGAUAUUUCCUUUUUACUUUCUCGUGUUCGUUAAAUUUUUGUAUCAAGUACAUAAAUAUUGAUACGUACCCGUAUUUUUUCAAUCUUUUUUCAUUUCAAAUUCUUUUCAUUUACCUUGCUUGAUUUUAUUUUAUUUUUAACUUUACCGUGACUUUCUAAAUUUACAUAUGUUAAUAUUUUUAUUUAGACUAUUUUAUAUCGUUGUAUCAACUUCAUUGAAGAACUAUUUUGAUUCUGUCAUUACUUUUGUUAUUAAUGUAAGUAUGGUGUCAAUAGGGUUAUGAAAUUUUAGCAAAAUAAAAAGGUAAAGUGCAAGUUUAUGCAACCAUGAAGUUAUGAUUUUAAAAGGAGAAACAAUAAAUGCAAAUCGAUUCGUUUUGAAUAUUGAUUAUAGUAAAAAAAUUUUGUGCUUCAAGUGAUAUUAAAUAAGAUUUGCCACACUCAACUUGAACAUGGCGAAGUGAGAAACUUGAACCAGAUAGAGAAGCUUAGUAUCCCCAAAGCCUAAUCUUCUUCUAUUAUUAUUAUUAUUAUUAUUAUUAUUAUUAUUAUUAUUAUUAUUAUUAUUAUUAUUAUUAUUAUUAUUAUUAUUAUUAUUCUUAUUAUUAUUAUUAUUAUUAUUAUUAUUAUUAUUAUUAUUAUUAUUAUUAUUAUUAUUGUUAUUAUUGUUAUUAUUGUUAUUAUUGUUAUUAUUGUUAUUCUUAUUAUUGUUAUUAUUAUUAUUAUUAUUAUUAUUAUUAUUAUUAUUAUUAUUAGAGCGAUACAAGUAUUCUUUUUAAGGAAAAAUGUUGUAAAAAUCAUUUAUCUUUUACGAAACAAAUAUAGGUUAAAUAUACUUAAAAAUCAUCUUAGCCCCCUCUCCCUCCUCUAUUAUAACACUACCGCCCCAAAAAUAAAAAUACAACUAUAAUAGUCCAAUAACAAUGGACAUCCAUCCACAUCAUGCUCUCCAAAAGAGUGAUCUACAACCUUUUGAAAAGAUAGAAGAUUCCAACACUAUCGUUAUUUAUUAUAAGAUGAACAAUAACAAUUUGAAUACUGAAUAAUAUAUAUUUUGAUAACUUGAAUGUUAUCUUAUUCCGUAAUAUAUCUUAUUAGUUCUAUAAUUAUUCUACUUUUGCAAAUCAAAUUGUAUUUUGGAUUCUUCUUUAGAACUAUUCAUAUUAGUUGGUGGCCUUUUUGUUAAUAGACAAAAGCUCAUUAAUAUCCUUUCCUGAUGUAACUCUGCCCAACUAGCUUGCUGCGUUGCCAAUUUUCCAAUUGAAGCGAUCCUUUGAUAUUUUAAUAUGCAUUAGCUUGAUAUUUUCACCAAUUAAUGUACAAAUCCUGAAAAAUAAAAUUUUAUUUUCUAGAAAAAGACAAGUUGGACCUAAAUCAAUAAAGAAAAAGGCCCAUCAAUAUCCUUUCCUGAUGUAACUCUGCCCAACUAGCUUGCUGCGUUGCCAAUUUUCCAAUUGAAGCGAUCCUUUGAUAUUUUAAUAUGCAUUAGCUUGAUAUUUUCACCAAUUAAUAUACAAAUACUGAAAAAUAAAAUUUUAUUUUCUAGAAAAAGACAAGUUGGACCUAAAUCAAUAAAGAAAAAGAUACUAUUAUAAAUGUCAAUUCAUUUUGGGCACUUGUAUGGUUUCGAAGGAUGAAACUCCGGAUUGCAAUUUAUUGAAAUUAUUUUUUCCAUUAUUUUUAAUUAAAAUAUUGUAACACACAAAAAUUUAAAAUGGUUCGUGAUUAAUGGUGAGAUUUACUCUCUUUUCUCUCCAACCCCAUGAAAAAUUAGGGAUAUGCUUUCGAAAAAUCUUUAGAAACCUCUUAUUACAAUCCAAAAUGCAUAUGCCUAUUAUCCUUUUGAGCAGCUUUGCGUAGUAAUUUUCAGCCGUGAAAAGGAGUGUCAUGACUUUCGUAAAUUAUUUGGUCAACACCUCACAGCUACAGCUAUGACCACUUUAAAAUUUCAGCAGCUUAUAAUAACUUUAUAGGAAUUAGGAAGCUACUACAAUUUAUAAAUUAUGCAUUUCAAAAACAUGAAAGCCACCUCAUUUUAUAACACACCUCAACUACCUUUGUACCAAUCUGGCUCUACUAAUUUUGAAAGAGAAAGCCCAAAAACAGAGAGUCAACGUCUAGUUUUUGGGUAUCAAUUAUUCCUGACUGGGCCUGGACCACAGAUUGCAAAAUGAAGCUGGCUCAUCCCAGUUUUGUGCGUAUGAUAAACUGGGUGAUCAGUUCCCGGUUCAGUUUGGUUUCAAGGUGGAACCGGGAAAUAGACCGGGAGAACUGGUUCCGGUCCGGUCCGGUCCAACAAAAUUGACAUUUUCCUUUUUCACUAAAGAAAAACCAUGCUCCGGACUGAUCAAUCCAAUUCGGUUCCUAGGCGUUUUAAUAAAACUACUCACACAUGUUUCCAUGCGCCAUGUGCAAAAUAUUCACACUUCACUUGCGUGAAUAUCAAUCACAGUUUAUGUGUUUCACGCUUAAUUUUAAGCAUAAAAGCCAUGAACAAUUUGAUUAAAGGUUGUGCUUAGUUUAGAUUUUAUAAACAAUCUCUCUUCUAUGCUUUGAAUGUUUAGUCGAUAUCGGACUCUUUGAGGCUUGAAGUGCCUUGUUGUUUGCAAGUGAGGGGAGCAAGUGAGAGAGUGUGAGCACGAGGAACUCCUAGAGCCUUCUCUCACAUUGAGUAGAAAAUGAAACUAACAAGUAAGUUUUCUCUAUAAAUAAAGAGUAACAACAAAGCUUUGGUGGUCUCUUGGCCACAUAGAAGAUUGUUACCUCAAUUGCAAUUGUAAUUGCAAUAAGUUUCAUAUAUAAUAUUCAUAUAUUAUAUGUGUUUAUAUAUUAUAUGUAUAUAAAUUAUAUAUAAAAAAAUUGGUCCGGUCUGGUCGGUCCGGUUGGUCCGGUUCCCACCUUGAAACCAAGAACCAGACCAACCGGCCGCCGGUUCCAAGAUUAGGAACUGGGAACCGGACCGCCGACCGUGGGAACCGCCCAAAACCGGCCGGUUCGGUCCAGUCCCGGUUCAGGCGGUUUCCGUUGCACACCCCUAUGAUAAACAAGCUAGCAGAUUGGGUGGUAAAAGCCCCACGAAAAGAAGAAUUCCCCCAGAAUUGGCUAUUUCAUCCUGGGGAACUUAUGUUGGAUAAUUUAUAUUGGGUAAAAGUCACCAAUAACACAUUUAUUUAAAACUUUUUUUCGUGACACAAAAAACUCUAAACUAAACUAAUGUGUACAUUUACCCCAAAUUUAUACAGUGUGACAUCUUUAUCCCAAAUUUAUUUUUCAAACAUUUACUUGUGUGAUGAAUUCACCCAAAAAAUUUGGUGUCUCAAGAAAAAUUUUGAGAUUUUUGGUGUUAUAAAAAAAAAAUUAGAGUAAAUACGUCACACAGGUAAAAAUUUGGGAUUUUUUGUAUCACAGAAAAAUUCGAAGCAAAUGUGCUAUAGUGGGCAAAGUUUGGAGUUUUUUGCGUCACAAAAAAUAAUUUAUGGUAAAUGUGUCAUUAUCAGCAAAGUUUGAGAUUUUUUUUUUUUUGGUAACUUUUUCCCUUAUAUUUUCACAAACUUGGCUUGAGUUGAUAAAAUUUAUGUUUAGACACAAAAAAAUUUGUUGCAUACUAGAAAACCGACUCUUUGCGCAGAAAUUGAGAAAAAAACAGAAUAAAAUUAUUGUCCUUUUCUUGCAUCGUGCGGAUUCCCACCCAAUACCACCUGUUUUUAUUUAUUAUUUUUUUUUUGCUAAAAAUCAAUUUUCCAUUUGCUUUCAAUAUAACUUUCAUAUACUACUGCUUUUUACUACUGUUCUCUUGUUCCUUAAAUUAAGAGAAGAUAGCAUAAAUGAUCCUUGAAUUUUGUCUCAAUUCGCAAUAUCAUCCUUAAAAUUUUAAUUUAUUUAAUGUGGUUCUUGAACUAUUAGUAAAUGUUCAAUGUCGUCUUUAUGCUUGCUCAAAGGGCAAACCAAAUGUUAUUUUGAUGAUGUAGAUUACUAUAUGUUGAGUUGAAUUUUUAGAAAUGAUGAUUCGAUAUAUCUAUCAUUUUACCCAUCUACUUUAGAUAAGGAAAAAAUUUAAGCAUUAACAUGUCCAUUGUUAUUUAUUGACAUGGAUUAUUAUAUCCAAGUCAAGAUGAAUAUCUUACGUGGAUAAUCCAUAAAUAACUCUUUUUCUUUUUUUGCUCACUAUUCAAACCUAAAUGAUUGGAAGCUACAUCACUAGAUUUGUUAUUGUAGCUUUUGUUAAUUUGAAUUAAUGGAAGGAAUGUAUUCUAGAAUUAGAUUGAAUAUUUGUAAAUAAUUCAAGUAUCACAUUGCAUAUUGGACCAAAAUUCAUAGACCAUUUACGUCAUCUUUCUUUAAAUUUUUUAAUCAAGUACAUAAAUAUUGCAAUGUACCUAUGUUUUUCAAUUUUUUUUUUCAUUUAAAUGAGUUUUAUUUGGAGAGAAUUCAGAAAGGGCUUUCUGCUUCGUUUAUAACCACGGACAGAAUGCAAUAAAGUCAGCGGGGCACUUCCAAAAAGCUUUCAUUAUACCUUGAUUUUACUCAAAUUAUCUAAUAAAUGUUUUUGGAGGUAGAACCCACUGAUUUGUCAAACCCAUUAUGGCUAAUUCCUGCCACAUCUCAUUAAACUACAGUUUAGAUUAAAUAAAAUAUAUGGUAGAAAUGAAAUAGCAUUUCUUUACACUUCGGCUAAAAUAUUUUUACAACUUUGCCAUGAAUUUCCAAAUUUAGAUGGAUUGAUUUUUUUCUAUUUAUUUUUUUUAUAUCAUUGUAUUGACCCCAUUGAUAAAUUUUUUUUAUCACAAUUAAAAAGUAAAAGCUUACGCAAUCAUGAAUGAGUAUUAUAAUUGUGAUGGAAUCAUGUUUUUAAGUGGAGAAACAAUCAAUGUAAAUAAUUACUUAUUGUAGAUUUUAGCAAUAACUUUUGUGCUUCAAGUAAAUAUAAAAUAAAAUUUGCCACUCUACUUGAACUAGAUAUAUGGCCAAGUAUAACACUUGAGCCAGAGAGAGAAGUUCAGUAUCUCCAUAGCUUCAUUUUCUUGAUCGAAAGUUUUGUGAACUAUGAUUCAGCUACAAUAAAUCACAUGGGACUCCAAACAUUUCUUGAUACUCAAGACUCGAUCGAAUCUAUUAGAGCUAGGUCUCUUCUCGAAACUAAAAUUAAUACCGACAUCUUUUUGUCCUUACUAGAAAAAGAAUUCAACCAAAAAAAGAAGUGUGGAAAUGUGGAAAUAGAAAGCAUAAGGCGUUCCUUUUUCUGCUUGAGAAGGAAAUAACAUUCCACGUCGAAUGUAUCGAUUCUAUCCUCAAAUUCAACCUCUUCAACGAAGUGGAAGAUAAACAAACAUCAAGUCUCGUCUUCUUGACAUUACAUUUAAGUUUGAUAUAUGGGGAAAACAGUCAAAUUAAUCCAUCUUCUUUGCCCAAGAACUAGACAUAUUGCUAACAGAUGCUCUUUCAUAAACGUGAGCUGCAAUUGGGCCUACAAGAGCCAACAGUUCUUGCAAACCGGCCUGCUCAUCAAGGAUCAGCAAGGCAUGAACUUUUGCGGCGCCUUCUCCGUCUUGUUUUUUCCGAUCGCUCUUCCUUAAGACGACUAGCGACAUGCAUUCCAAGAGCAUGGGAUUAUACGCCAAGAGUUGGGGGACUUAAUGGGAGCUGAUUAACUUUCCAUUGUCACAAAUUAUAUCAACUGAUCCGGAUCUAGAGUCACCAUCUAAUGAUAUAACAGAGGAUCUGUUACCAUAAUGCUGAACUGCACAAUAACUAAUCACUAGGACUUUAGGACUGAUCCAUCCGGAUUGUAUCGAUUAAGCAUGUUCUAUUAAGUCCAGUGUGCAUGCAACAUCUCAAAGCUGCAUCUUCAAAAGGAGAGACGGAAGUGCAUGUACGACAACUGCCGAUCAAAGACUACUCGAUCCUACUGCUCUAUUUAGCGCAUGGCUUGUCGACAAUAAAAUUUUUAUUAAGAUGGCCAACUGUCUCAUAACGCACAUCAUAUUACUCACAUACAAACCCCUCGCAGAUCAAGCUCGGAAACAUCCUCCCAGAAAAGAAAAAAAGGAGAACGGCUCCAAACGAGUCAUAGAUAACGAAACUUCCAUACGGCUACUUUCAGGCUUUACGACAGACCUCACCAUCACAGACCCAUCCUUCUUUGGCAUCUCCUUCUUUCUUUGCUUCCUCCUCAGCUGCUUCAUCGUCUUCAUCUAACUCGUUUUCAGUUGCUUUCUCUUCUUUAACAGCACAUUUUGGAUGGAGAUCAAAGUCACACUCCUCGCAAUAAUAUGACCACCCCUCCCCCUCUUCAUCGCAGCCCUCACAAGUGUACCGUCUCCUCUGAGCCGGAACGAGCUCGUGCUCUUCAUGCAAAGGAUGCUUCAACUUCUCUGGCCAGCCUUUUAUACUUUCCUUGAACUUUUCCUCAAACUUCUUGAGAUGUUCGGCAGUAAAAGGAUAAGCAUCAGCCCCGUGGUCCAUUAUAAGAUCCCUUGCUUUGUUAGUCACCGUCCGGCCCGUUGGACCUAUGGCUACAAGCAUGGGGAUGCCCCGGACCUUGAAUUUGCCACUCAGGGAUUUCUUCCUCUCGUCACCAAAAGGGAGCGCCAGCCACG